GUCUGCGGUUAUUUGUGAUUCUGUGAAUCUUAGCAACCAAACAAAAAUUACCCAAAAUUAAAAGUGGCAGUCUUACACGAUCUGAUCAUUACUUGCCCCAAACUCAAGGCAAAAGUUUACAAGGUAGUAGUACAUGAUUGAUGAUACAUAAGUUUUGCUCCAUAAAAAAAGGACCGAUUAGAACGCAUGUGAUUUUCACGAGGAAAACCACUUGAUUCGUAUGUACAGAAAAACGGUGGAAACCCCUGUAGACUGACCCGGCAAACAAGCAUCAUCAGUGCAUGGAUACUGGACCAAAAACACCAUAAGAAAUUAAAGAGAACGGAGCAAGCGAGCAAUCAGCCAGCUAGUACUAGUACAUAUAUAUUGUACAGCCGUGAUCUGGUCGGAGAUGAGACGAUGACCCGCCGGCGGCGGCCGGCCGGCGCGGCGGAGGCCCAUCGAUCGAUCACUUGGGCCCCCAAAGCAGCAGGUGCAUCACCUUGUCCGCCUUGCCGCCGCCGUCCGCCGCGCGCCGCCCCGCCGUUGCCGCCGGCGUGGCCGCGGCCGCGGCCGCGCGGGGUACCCGCAGCUGCUGGCCGGCGUCGCGCGCCAGCGCACGCAGCGUCGCCGGGAGCUCCCACCUGCUCUCGCGCCCGCUGCUCAUGGCGAAUCAACCACCGCUUUCUCCUUGGCCCUUCUUGCUAUGCUAUCUAGCUCGUGCUGCUCAUCCUCAGUCCGGUCUCUUCUCUCUCCCAGCCACCUCACCUAGCCUCUUAUACUGCCACUGCACUACUCCUGGUCAUGAGUCACACACAAUUUUACAUUUUAGCCUUUUAUGAACAUUUAUUUUAUAAAUAGAUCUUUAAAAAAAACUUAAUCUUUCCAUCCAGAAAUAUAAUAUGGUACUGAAUAUGACACAUUCCAGCAUCAUGACGAGUUUGGACAGAUAUCUUACAACUAAAAUAUAUCCAAUACUACCUUCAUUCUAAAAUGUAGCUAUUUCUAGCACAGUACUUUGUCCCAAAAUGAAGCUAUUUUUCUACCUACCUUCCCCUCUCAACCAAUCACAACCAUUCUUUUUCACCUACUUUCUCUUUUCAACCAAUCACACACCUUCUUCAAUUAUUCUCACAUACUUUCUUAAUACCCGUGCUAACCUCAAAAAUACUUACAUUUUGGGACGGAGGAAGUAUGAUACAAGAUUGCUAUAUCAUGUAACAGAUGAAAUAUUCUGUCACCGAGCUACAGGUUUGAAUAUAACAAUCUAAAGAUGAGAUACUAGUACUAUAUAGUUAGAAUAGACUCCUUUCCGCUCUCUCGGAGAGACUCAUAGCUCUAGUUCUACAUUUUUAUAAUAUGUAACGAAGAGAUUAAGUCCUUGGUUAGUUUGGGAAAAAUUUUAGAUUUGGUUGGUAUAUUGGAUAUACGGACACAUAUUUAAAGUAUGAAACAUAGUUUAAUAAUAAAACAAAUUACAGAUUUCGUCAGAAAACUGCGAGAUGAAUUCUUUAAGUCUAAUUAAUUCAUCAUUAGCAAAUAUUUACUGUAGCACCACAUUGUCAAAUCAUGGCGCAAUUAGGUUUAAAAGAUUCGUCUCGUAAUUUACACGUAAACUGUGUAAUUGGUUAGUUUUUAUCCACAUUUAAUAAUUCAUGCAUAUAUCUAAAUAUUCAAUGUGAUGGGUGAAAUUUUUUGUUUUGAGAGCUAAAAAGGGCCUAAGUUUUUUAAGGAUUUAUUUAUAAAAUAUGUUUUCAGAAAAUGGCUAGUGUGAAAAGCCCAGUCCUGAGUCACCUCCUGCAAACUGCAAUCAACAGGGGCAAUAAUAGUCAGCAAUAAAUAUCAGCCACCAUGAUUGAUGAACCCCUCCAAAAUCGAGUGGCCGAGAGAUACCCAAAGACGGGAUUUUUAUCCCGCACCCAACGCCUCGGCGCGGGAUCACCACGCGCUUGGCGAUCAGUGCGUACAGCGAUCGCGAUCGCCGGUGCGCGCGGGGGUGUAUAAUUUUCCACGGCGGCGAGGGGAGGGGAGGGGAGGUCGUGGAUGCGGCGAGGCGGGCGGUCGGUGUCGGGAAAGGGGCGUGGAGUAAUGCGCGUGUUUGAAAAACGGGGUCUCUCGACCAAUCCGGAAUGAACCAGUGGUUGGAUUUGGGCUCGUUCUUCCGGUAAAGGGCAUGUUAAGAGAAGUUUUUAACCAGCUGCAGGUUCUCUCGGAUUCUUUAGCUAUCCCAAAUAGUCCGCAUUAUUAUUUGGAUUCAGAUUCUGGUAAUAUAUAAUUGUAAAAUCUAAAAAAAUAAAAUAGAAACUGUAUUAAGCUGAAAAACCAAGUUUCUUCAGGUUAUAAGAAGCUGACUAUCAAACUAAGCUGGCUAUCAAACAGUAGAUUUAAGCUCCCUGAACAGGGUUUUUGUUGUGGUAGGGUUUUUGUUCCAUUGUUUGUUAUAUGUCACAUAAAUAGUUAGAAAAAUAACAAGUUAGAUUCAUACAAGAUAUAUCCGUUUAAAUUCAACUUCUAUAAGUUAUAAUAAAAAAACACAAAUAUAAUUGUGAAUUUACGUUAACUCGUUUGAAUUUAAUAUGUUCUUUUAGUUAUAACUUGAAGAAGUGAAAUUUAAAAUUGCAUUUUGUGAGACGAUAUAUCCCAUAUUAAUUUAUUUUAUAAUUUUUUUCUUAAAUUUUUCAGUGUCCAUUUUGAUGAGAUACAAUAAACAAGCAGAUGUUUGGAGUAGGGGUGGACAUUCGGUCUGACCGAAAAUUUCGGUCUCGGUCUUUGGUCUUUAAAAAGUAAAGAUCAAAUUUCAAUGCAAAAAUAUCAGGACCGACAAAUUCAGUCUCGGUCUCGGUCCUGACCCAAAUUCAACAACACUUUCAUAUACGCAAAGAAGCAAUGGAAAUUUUCAAUACAAAAAUCACAGAAAAAAUGUAAGCACUUAUGAGUAAAUACUCUUAUUAGGUUGUAUGCCUAGAAGAAGUAGGAUGCGAAAAAUAGAGUUUAAUCCUAUUGAACAUAGUGAUUGUAUGUUACAUUUAUACUUUUUUUUUUGUUAAUUCAGUCUUUUUGGUCUAUUCGGUGAGACUAACCGAAUUGACCAAAUAAAAUUCGGUUUUUCACUUUCUAGGAUUGAAUUUUUCGGUCUCGGUCUUUUUGGUUCGGUCUUUUUCUGACCACCGCUACUUGGAGGAUGAAAAUCCAUCUCCCGACACAAGUCCCAGCCAGGACGCACUAAGCACUGGAAACAGCUGUGGGAGCUGGAGUACCUUGUAGUCUCGUCCUUUGCUCUAUGCCUGCGGUGACAAUGUGAGGCUAUGAGCAGUAAGCUGGUGUAAAUAAUUGAGUUAGACAAGUCAAUAGAAAUUAGUAGAAUUAAGUAGUAGGAGUAAUGGUAUGUAUGCUUCCGGUCAUAAGGAUUUAACUUGUAAGAUAAAGGCUAAUCAAACUUUUCGUAAGAUCUUGACCAUUAGUAUUGCCGUAAACCUACUAUACUUACAAACUUUUUAAAACAUAUAAUUGUUGUUUAUAGUGUUUGACAAAAUGUCAUCCUAAACGUCAAAGCAACAACUUGUUUAUUUGGUUGACAAAACAGUCUAAAUGCCCUUCAAAACUUUGACCGAGGGUGCAUGUAGCCUCUUUUCUGGAUAAAUUAACAGGAUCUGCUUAUAUGUAGGAGAGUUCACUGGCCUGUUAGAGCCAAUGUGCUUGAGAUUGUUGAUGUGCUCCGUAUUGAAGAAGUGGUUUCGGAUGGUCCAAAAUGUAACAAAGAAAAACUUAUCUAAUCCAAAUUAAAAAGACUGAGUAAAUAAUAGUUCAAAAUAAAAUUUUAAAAAUAAAAGAUGAUCCAAAGUGUAAUUCGCUAAAAAGAAGAAGAAAUCAAGAGGAGAAGAAGAAAAGUACGUAUAAGAACCGCCAAACCUGGAUGCAUAUCACUACCAUUCAGGUAAUACCGCCUUCCUAACCUAUAUGUGUGUAAGUACGUACGUGCGUAAAAGAAAAGUAGAGAAACGCUCAAGGGUUUUCCGACUAGUUUCACAAGGUGGUGGACUAGACGACCUAGAUUCGAAGCCUUACCCAUUCUAAUUAUUUGACAUUAUGUCCUUCCCUAAUAUUCGACCUGAGUUCAAAGCCUCACAUCUUCUAAUUAUUUGAUAUUAUUAGGUCCUUCUAUAAUAUUCGACCUGGGUUCAAAGCCUCGCUCAUUCUAACUAUUUAAUAUUAGGUUCUUCCGUAAUAUUCGUGAUUUUUAAAAAGAAUAGUACGUUUUGAAGAAGAAGAAGAAGAGAGUAGUACUUAGGAACCACCAACGAUCCCCUCCUAUUCGUCCCUAGACUUCUCUCCUCUUUUUUCUCUCUAUUUAUUUUUAAAAAGUCUCCUCUCCUUUUUAUGGUGUAGUUGGCUCAGCAAUAACCAUAGCUGCUAAACUACAAAUUUAAUUUCUAAUUUAUUUCAAUAAUUGUAUUUCUCAUGAUUAAAUCAAUAAUUUAAGAUUAUGAAAAACAGAAAAUGAACCAACACUAUAGCUGUGUGUACAUCAUCCAAUUAGUCUAAAAAAUUCAAGAUAACUUUGCCAGAGUAGACGGCUAAAUUACCACAAUUCAGGACACAUGUAUGUUUUGAAAAAAAAUAGCUUGUAGAUCUAAUAAUUAGAGAAAUUUUAUAACUUCUAAGGGAAAAAAACAAAUAUUAACCAUUGGUUUUCACUUAAACCGGUGGACCUAUAGUUACCACUAGAUUAUGUAUCUAGGAAACAACCGGCUAAUCCCACCUUCUUAAUCCCAAUCCUGUACGUAAGUACAUAUUUAUGCGUGUAAAAGAAAAGUACAUACUUACGAAGUACUGCCAAACCCCAUUCCCGUGCAAUUCGUUCCGUUUGACUCCCCUGCUUUCUAUACGGCAUAGUUGGCUAGUCGGCUAUUUUCUCGAGUAAGUAUCUUCUUGAGUAGGUAAGAAAUAGCCAACUUUGCCAUAUAGAUAGGAAGGGAGUCAAAGCGAGCGAAUUAUUUGCAUUGGCACGGACUAUGGAUAAAGGCGUCGCGGGGUACACAAGGACGACGACGAACAAAAACGGAUUGUGACGAUCGGAAAAAAUGUGUAUCAUUCAAUUUUAAGAUGAAUUCCAAACUAAAAUUGGUAACUUGCUAAAGAUUCGAUGUAAAUUAUAUAAUACAAGAAAAUAAUAUUAUAUGACUUAACUAGGCUAGAAAAAAACUUAGUACUCUAUACAACAUAAUUUUAUCGUGGUAUUAACAUAUUCGUUAUAGUCAUCCAUGUGAGCGGUUUAAUAUAUACAACUAAAAUUGCCUUUCCCCAUUGCAACACACAAACUUUUUUCCUAGUCUUUUUUUUAUUAAUUUAGUAAAAUUUAUCUGAAAAAUGACUGCAUAUUAGUGUUUUGUAUAUAUAUUAGUGAUUUUAAAUGUUGAGGUUUGAUUUAUGGUACGUCUCAGAUAUACACAAUAUCGUAUUAAAGAGAGGGAUACGUGUGAGAUUACAUAGCUAUAAAUACGAUUUGGACCGUUCACCUACAAACUACUAUACUUCCACUAUUUGAUUGCAUGGCUCGGGAUAAUAAGGUUGAAGGACAACAAAUUGGCCUGUGAAACAACAGUUAAUUUGAGUUAAUUAAUCUUAGUAUUUUUAUUUUUAAAACGAAAUUAAUCUAGAUUUUUUAACCUAUAACAUGGCUAGCUAGUGACCAGCGACAAGCUUGAACGGAGUAUACAACCGCUUAGAGCAGGUACAAUGCUAUAAGCCACCUAUAAACACAUAUCGAGAAGAUAAAUGAUGAUAGAGAAGAUUUUUAUCAGUGAAAUAGUGAAUGACGCUAUGAUUAUACAUGUUAAAAAAAUAUGAAUUAUCAACUUCAAAUUAAAAAAAAAGAGCAUUGCCGAAACAUAAUUAGGAUGUGAGUCAAGGAUGAAAAUGAGUUGGAUUCGGACAACUAAUUGAUGUAUCAUAUUCUAUUCCACAGUAUCUUCAUGGAGAUUUAGACAAGGCACAGAUAAUAGAAGGUGUGAAUGUCCGAAACAUUAGUUUUUUAUAUAUAAGUUUUUUGAAAAACAAAUUAUCUAAUUUCAAGUUUAUAAUAAUUAAUAAUUAAUUAAUGAUACGCUAAUAAUUUGUCUCGUUUCAAGUGUUGGCUAAGAUCAAACCGAUGUCCCGAACGCAGCUUUUAGAUUCUGAACUCACGAGAGUCUUUAGGUUAAAAGUCAUGCUGUGGAGCUAUAGCCUAAACAAUAUCGCUAAAUAUCUUUUUUUUAAAAAAUAAUAUAUCCUACAAAUUCUCAAUCACCAAGUAUCCUACAAAAAAUCAAAAUGGUUCUACACUGAAACUGCAUUUUUCUACGUACCCUCACAUAACUGUGGUAAAAACAAAUUGAGAACAUAAAAUACCACACAAUCUACAUUCACACCAUAUGCCCUGAUACUUUUUGAACUUUGUUUUGGAAGCACUCUACUACUCGUCUACUGCAAAAGAUAAAGAAAGAAAAACAAAUAUAGCCUAGCCACAUAUGCUGAACUCAACUCACGUUAAAAACUAAAACAUUUGUCUUUUUCGUUUACCUAGAUUAUGUUUAAAUAUAAUUCUUGGUGGAAUAGUACAUGAUAGUAUAUUUACGUAAAACUCUAUUAUAAUUUUUCACGAUUAUCUUUACUACUUUAACCUCUCCUAUUAUCCAUAAAAAAAGAACCGGCACACUCAAAGGAGUGAAAAAUAUUAUUCUACAUCUUAUUGUAACGUAAGGAUAUGGUAUUAGUUUACAUUAGACCUUAUUCGUUCAAUCAAAAAAAAAUACCGAGGAUGAAAUUUUCACAUCAUAUAUGUGAAAUAAAUUCUACUUUCUUCAUUCUAAAAUGUUGCAAUAUAGAACGUGAUUUAAUGAUAAUAAAUCUGAAACAGGUUACUUCCUCCAUUCUAAAAUAUAAUAACUUUAAAAAACGGAACACAUUAUAAUACUCCAUCCGUCCCAAAAUAAGUGCAGCUAUGGUUUUCCGCGUCCAAUUUUGAUCGUUCGUCUUAUUUGAAAAAAUUUUGAAAAAAAAUUAAAAACAUAAGUCACGAGCAAAGUACUAUUCAUGUUUUAUCAUCUCAUAGCAAUAAAAAUGCUAAUUAUAAAAAAAAUUUAAAUAAGACGGAUGAUCAAAGUUAAGAGUGAAAACUCAUGACUGCACUUAUUUUGGGACGGAGGUAGUACUAGAGGUCACCCCGCGCGUUGCUGGGGAAAUUUAAGCAAUUACAAAUGUCAAAAUUUUGGAUGAAAUAUAAUCACCUUAAAAGGAAAAACCUAACCCAAUUUAUCACUGCGCGUGAGGAAUAUUUGUACAAAUAAAAAUAAUCUUCAACCGUACCAAGUUCAUAGCCUGCAAAUAAUAUUUUUCAAACGUAUGGCUUCGAUAUUGGUACCAUUAAUUGGAGGGAAACUCAACUGGCACUCCCUUCCACUCAUAUUAUACAAAACAAAUUAAGGGAAUAAGUAACAACAAAUUGCUAAAAGAAAUGUUGAUCCGCUGGAGCAUGAGCAUAUAUAUAGCGGCAAAAUAAACGCAGCAGCAUGGCUAACGGAAUGAAGGAUUGAUCGCAACGAUCAAGUAUAGCAACUGGACUCUGGACAGGAGGGCUUGUGGUCAGCAUGUCAAUCCACUGCGAUGGUGUUUUCAGAGGAAUCAGGAAUAAAGGCCGAGUAUUCACCUAAUUCAUUUAGCUAGAGGAUGGAAUAUAUGCAGUGCAAGUGCAGUGGAAGAUGGAAGGCCUGCUGCGUGAGCCAAUGAAUGAAUAUCCAACGUUUUGGUUUCAAUCAGGAGAUGACCCGUCAGGAACAAACGGUUUAACUGUUGAAUAGGCCCCUUUGUUAAUUACUGUCGUGCAUGAUGAUCGGAAUUAAAAAAAAAACGAAGAGGUGCAUCCCACUAUCGCUCUUUACACCCUCAUUUGCAAUCUAGCGGCUAGGUGGAAUCUAUCUGCAAUCCAACGGUCAGGUGGAAUAGAGGUGAUGUGGAUCACUCCUGGAGAAGGAAAUUAGUUUUAAUUGUAGUUAGUGGGAUGACCUAUAUAGAUAUAUAUAUAUAUAGGAUACUGUUCUUAUUCGCAAUAUUAAAAUAUAUUUCAAUUAUUUAAAAAUUGUUUAUAUUUCUGGACAGACGAAAACAAACAAUAAUCCCCGUGUCCUCGCAGUGAGGCUCGCACCGCCCAGCAUCCUUGGAAACAGAGUGAGCGUCCAAAACCGGCGGCGACGCGCUCCCCGUUUCGCCGCUUUCCGCUCAUCUCGCGUAUAAAAACAUGGCGUCUCCCCUGACCACCACGCCUCCACCACCUCCGCAUCACUAGCAAGCGCAAGCGCCGCGCACUGUGACCGAGCGGAGGCGGAGGCGGAGUAGCCGGGUCGGGAACUCGGGAUGGCGAUCUGCGGGGCGAAGGCGGCGGCGCCGUCGCUGGUGGUGGCGGCGAGCAUGGGCGCCGUCGAGGCGCUCAAGGACCAGGCGGGCCUCUGCCGCUGGGACUACGCCCUCCGCUCCCUCUACCUCCGCGCCGCCGCCUCCUCGCCCAGGCUGCGUUCCCCCCUCUCCAACACCGCCGCCGCCGCCGCGCGGCCGCCGGCGGAGGAGGCCGCCGACGUGAGGCUGCGCAAGGUCCACCACCUCGUCUGCUGGGGCCCCAACUGAUUUAUAUUAUAUAUACUCAUCUCACAUCUUCCUGAAGAACAUAUGCCACUCGUCUCGUCGUCUUCCUCUGAUCUCUGUGCAGUGUAGUGCUCUUCUCUUCUCUUUUAGCUGUGUUGCAUCUCGAUCGAUCGCUUGCUUGAUUGCUCCAUCCUCCGUCUCUGUGAUCUGCAUGUUCAGUUUCGUGCAGAUUCGACCCGUUUGUGAAAAUGUUCUGCCGCUUACAUGUAUCUUCAUCCUUAUGCAUGGAGAUCUAGCUAGCCUCCUAUUCCCUCUGUUCCGAAAAUAAAAUCAACUUCGUACGAGAGUAGACUGGAGUCCUUGUAGCCCUCCAUUUUCUCAUUUACUAAUUUUGGAAAAAAAAAUCAGUACCAUCUUGAGAUCUUGAGACUGGACUUAAAAAACCAAAUUAAAGAGAAAGAGAAUAUGUUAGUUAAUUGCAUGGAUAUAUACAUGCUUGUAUUAUAAGACAUCUGAAAAAAUAGUUACGUCUUAUGUUUAUGUUUUGAGAUGAAAGGAGUACUAAUCAAGUCAAGAGCGCCUUAAUUUCAGUUUUGUCAUGUCUAAUUACCAAAUCGAGAUGACAGUAUUUGAAGACAAGAAGGGAUGUGAUAAAGCUACAAACCUGGGACAAGAACGCAUCUUGUGAGAGUGAAGAGAGCUAACUUACCAAAUGCAUCCCUGCAUCCAUCCCCUGGUUCUCAUAUGAACUUUGUCGAAUCUACAAUGAGAAUUGAAAACUAAUAGUACUAUAAGAUUUAUGGAUAUGGAUAUGGAUUGUGUGUGCAUCUGAUGAACUAGCACAAACUAAUUAAUUUCCCCUCAGAGAGAGCAAAGGCGUGAUUGGGUGCAGUGCUGGUGAACCUUUGAGCCAGUUUCAGACUUUCUUGCUAAUUAAUUUAGCCGGCCGGCAGGUUCAUCAACGCUGCACUCAAUAAUGCCUUCCCUUCUCUUCCAUCACCCAUCGAUCUCAUCAUGAAUCUGCCAAUAUUCCUAGCUCUAAAUCUCUAAUCCCAGGAACAGGAUGCAUCACUUGGCUAGGCAGCUUCCAUGCUUGUGCGUGUGUAGCUGCAUCUGCACUGCAUUUGUGUGUGUGUGUGUUGCUUUUCAGACAGGUCACCUCCUCCUUUUGUACUACUGCAUCUGCACCGUGCCUAACGGUGUUGCUUGUACUACCAUGGGAUGCAGCAGCAUCCUCGGAUUGUACUAAUUUCUAUGUGUUGUACUUUGUCACGUCCUGAUCGAUCAGGUAGUACGUACUACUAAUUCAGAGUUCAGACUUUAGAUGAGCUCUCUAAAAUUCCACAUACAUGUAAUACUUGACAGAAAAAUGGGAUUUUUCUUAUGAGUGCAGCAUUUUUCAGAACAAAAGAAUCAUGCAUACGCUUCUCUCCAAUAAUUCAGAGUUGUGGAGAUGAUUUGACCAAUACAACGAUGAAGUUUUAGGCAGGCAGUACAGCAUGACCGUGACCGUCCUGAACCUGGGCGGACACGGCAAGUACAGACUAUAGAGCAGUACAACUACAAACUGUACUGCAUUACAAUUUGCAAGUUCAGAAUAUGAGUGCCUGUCCUUUUCUGAUUAAAGAUGAUUUUAUCUCGGUUUCUGUUAGCAAGCUUUUUAAACUACUAAACAAUGUAUUUUGUACGAUAACUUUCCAUAUAUACGUUGUUUUAAAAUAUCAAAUAUAUUCAUCUGUCAAAUUUGUAGUAAUUGGAACUUAACUAAUCAUGCUUCCGUUUUACAUGCGCUAACUAAUCUUUAUCAAUAAUCUCUUUGAUAGUGCUAGUAGCCUAGUACUAAUACUUUGUCAAGCAGUGUCGCAAACGAACACGUAAAACUAUGAAUACGAUAGUAGGAGUACAGAAUAAUGUGGUACUCGCUGCAUUGAAGUUUCGGGUUUGUAUAGGCUAAACUUCUUCAAAUUUGACCACGAUCACAAAAUAUAUAGUCUCUUCUAGAAGACGUUUUGACUUUGGUCAAAGUCAAACCACUUUAACUUUGAUCAAGUUUGUAGAGAAAAGUAGUACUAAUAUUUUCAACCCAAGACAAAUUUAUUAUGAAAAAUAUAUUCAAUUAUUGAUUUGAUGAAACUAAUUUAGUAUUAUAAAUAUUAUUAUAUUUAUAUAUAAACUUAGUUAAAUUUGAAAUAGUUUGACUUUGACCAAAGUCAAAACGUUUUAUAACCUGAAACGGAGGGAGUACUAUAUAGCAGCAUCUAACCACACCGAAUUAGUUUCAUCAAAUCCACAAUUGAAUACAUUUUUAUUGUGUAUUUGUUUUGUGUUGAAAAUGCUGCUAUAUCUUUCUAUAAAGUUAUCAAACUAAAAAGUAGUUCGACUCCAAAUUUCAAAUUCUAUAUAGAAGUUUAAUAAAAGGAAAUAAAUCUAUUUUUCAAAUUUAUAAUAGUUAAUAUUUAAUUAAUCAUGUGCCAGUGAGAUUAUUUUGCUUCGCGUGUAGUACAAAUCUUCCUCAUCCAGGAGGAAUUAGCUCCAAAGACCUUCUUUUCUUUUCUUCCCACAGAAAAGUUAGCUCUACAGAUUUCAGAACUGCGGAUUUGCAGUAUACCUCAGUCUUGGGUCCAGUACACAGAAAUGAUAAAUAACUACAACUCCAAAUUUGAAUGUGCAAACAUCUCGCUAUUGCCACCAGGGCAUGGAAGAUGCAGAAUUGGUGAGCUUGUACUUAUCUGUUGAGAAUUUACACGAAUUUCCUUUCAACAAAUAAAAACAGCCGUAUGCUAAAGUAGGCUUCUGAACAAUAUACUAGUUUUAAAGUUUCAGAUUAUCUGUAUACUAUGGUCCAAAUACAAAUCGUGCCCAUUGUAAUCAGGAUGUUUCAAGUACUUACAAAUAGUCCCAAUAUCAGAACGAAUCCAGAAGGGGAAAAGAAAAUUCUCAAACGUUAUUAUUGACAAUUGAUAUCUCUGGCAUGGAAGUGUCAGCAGCACCCAGCACAGCCAAAGAAAGUAACUAAAACUAAAAAGGCUGCUAGUUCAUCUAAAAAAAAGACUGCGAGUUGCCCUCAAAAAGGGGGAAAAAGGACUGUUAGUUGAAAGGUAAGUUAUAGAUGGCCAGAAGCUAAUGGUGCAUCAUUUGAACACCUCACAUAGCAAAGAAAUUCCUUUUGAUGCACCAGAAGAUGAUCCUGUUUCACUGUUUGGCACAUAUAUGAACAUACACUGUCACUUAGAUCCUAAAAUUAUGCAUGAAUGAUAAACAUGAAGAAUUAGACUAUGAUGCUGAAUCCUAGUGAGAUUUGGUACCCAGAAUUUGCCCAGAUAUUUGUUUGUAUGUGAAGAGGUCUUGAUGACAAAAGGUUAAUCACAUUACAAUAAUUAUCUACUUCCUAGGCCGCCUUCGCCAUCAACAAUCUACAAAUAUGGUAUCGGUUGCAUGCAAAAAUUUACAUUUGGACUGGCCAACAUCGUUGGUUACACUGAAACAAACUCCUGUAGUGCACAGUUGCUUGACUCAUAUAUACAUGUUCCAAAAUUGACUCAUAUAUACUUUGUAUCCUUAGUAAAAAUGGAAUAUACAAUUAUCAGAAGAAAUACUGAAAUGUAAAGAAGCUAGGGAACAAAAAAAUUAAGCCAAAUGGUACGAAAUGGAGAAACUAGAACAGGGUAAACCUGAACAACGAUCCAAUGUAUGUGAACAAGUUGUGACUCUGGCCUCUGAUGGAACAAGCUCUGCAGCUGAAGUUGUAUUGUAAACCUGGUCGUGGUAUUUGCAACUGGUCACAUGUUUUACAGGCGGCAACUGCGUUGGCAGCCUGUCCUGGCUUUUGUCGGCAAUGUAGCGGAUUAAUUAGCCCUGUGGCUGCUGUGAUGGUAAACGUGACGGCUGCUGCUCUCCUUGCAUUCCUUGCAUAGAUUGCUCAGGUUGCUGGUGCUGACCUCCUUGCCAUGCCCAAACUAUAUCCUUAAGUGCAGGCCUUAUAUCUUCCUUCAUGAGCUUUUGAUAUUCUAUAGUGUCCCCAUUGGACUUUUUAAAUUCAACUAAAUGGAAAGAUGGAGCAAGCUCAAAAACCUCAGCAUCAAGCUCAAGUAAUCCUUUUAUUCCUUCCUUUGGUGCUACCAACCUCAGAACCCCAUUUUCUUUUUUCUUAAUUUUGAGCUUGAAGCGUCUGGCCAAUUCAUUUAGCUUAGCAAAUAUAGCUGCCGCCGGUUGCCUAGUGGUAAAUCUCUCUUCCCUCCGGCCAUAUCUUUCUUCAAACAAAUUGGAUAAGUCAAACCCGGUAGACAGAGAAAUGAUGUCAAACGCGUUCAAGUUCGGGAGGCUUAAUGAAGCUUGCUUUCCAUCGGAAUUACUACAUUCUGGUGAGUCAGAGGUUGUGGCUUCACCAUUAGUGUACACUUUGUCUCUUGAUGACGCACGAUUUCCCUCAAAAAUACUGCAUUCUGUUGUGUCAGAGGUUGUGGCUUCACCCUUAUACACCUUGUCUCCUGUUUCAUGUUUGCUCUUCAGUGCAUUUACAUCACUGGAUUUUCUGUACCAAGCGCUUCUCUUUAUCUUCGGGAUAGAAAUUCUAGUACUUGGAUCUGGAUCAAGUAUCUUAUAUAGCAGAUCCUUCAACUCAGCAGAAAAGGAACGAGGGCAUUUGUAUUCAGCUUUGGCAAUCUUUCUAUACAUCUCUAUAAGAUUUGUGUCAUGGAAAGGAAGGUAGCCAGAUACAAGCACAAACAGAAUUACUCCACAAGACCAUAUAUCAGCCUUCGCACCGUCGUAGCCUCUCCUACUAAGAACUUCAGGAGCAACAUAAGCUGGAGUUCCACAGGUGGUAUGAAGGAGGCCAUCAUGUCUCUUGGACUCAGAAAGGGCACUUAAACCAAAAUCCGAGACUUUUAAGCUCUCAUUCUCAUCUAGAAGUAGGUUUUCUGGCUUCAAAUCACGGUGAUAAACACCCCGGCUGUGGCAGUAGUCUAUACCACUGAUCAACUGAUGGAAAUACCGCCUCGCAACAUCUUCACUGAACUUUCCCUUGGAUAUUUUCUUGAAAAGUUCACCGCCUUUAGCAUACUCCAAAACAAAGUAAAUUUUGCUCUUGCUUGCCAUCACCUCAAAAAGCUGAAGAAUGUUUGGAUGCUUUACUAAUCUCAUUAUUGAAAUCUCCCUCUUUAUCUGCACCAUUAGCCCAACCCUUGUUACCUUCUCCUUAUCAAUCAUCUUUAUUGCAACGGCCUGUCCGCUUGUGAGAUUCCGAGCAUAAUAUACCUUGGCAAAAUUUCCCUGUCCUAACUGCCUACCUAUUUCAUAGCGAUCCAUCAAAAUUGUCCUCCUGUCAUCCAUUGUAGCAAUCUAUUUCAAGAAAAUCCUCUAGGCACUACUUAUAGAACAAUAUAUUUCAAAAGGGAGGGCUUAUAAAUGACUAAAUGAACACUAUCACCACCAAGGUCGUGUCCAUCAAAGAUAUAAUGCCACGAUCUUCAGUGGUUCAGAGACCAGGGUACAGAAAAAAUCAUUAUAACAGCAUGCAGGCACUGCUCUUAUUUGAACUCAACCGGACAGUUGGUGCAAAGCUUUCCGGUGCACUAGCACACAAUUCGGCCUUUUCAAGGACAAAUAUCUUCUAGUGUCACCUGUUGAAAACAAAACGGAGAACGAACAAACUGAAUCAGGGCAAACAUAUAAUGUGAAUGUAGAUCCAAUCAUCCAAAGGUAAAUCAAAUUGAAAACAAUAAUUCACUGUAAAUGCGCAUUCACAUUCCCUUUUUUUUAUACGCAAGGAGCGCAUCUUUGUAUUAAAGAGUAAAAUUAUUUAUAGGCACAUUCCCAAAGUUAGGAUAGCAUUACGAAUUUAGUAAAAAAAUUGCAGGAUUCCCCAUUUCACUAUGAUUUUGAAUACCCACCAAGCAUUCCUUGUAAGAAACCUAAAAUCACACCAAACAAAACAUACUCCAAAACGACAAAAUGACAAGUACUACAAACUAAGCAGUGAUUCAUCCUAAAAAGGUAGAUCACACGACGAUUGAUCUAGUGUUCUAGGACUUCAGGCUACUCCGAUAAAGGAAUCAACAAAUAAAAACCUGCAGAAUCCAUUCAUUCAUCAAUCCCCGGUAGCAGAGCAAUCCAUCAUACUAGGGCGAACACCCAGCUCCCCAAACCCUACCUCACCGGGACACAGAGCUACAAAUCCAGCCAUAAACCAAUCAAACUAACAAGCAAUUUACCCUUCUCAGGCCUUAGCCGCAGAGAUCACAACCACAAAUAACCUAACCAAACCAAGAAACCGCAGGGAGCACAACAUCAGCUGCAGAUCUCUUUGCGGCCACAUCAAAAACAACCAAGCAAUCACCAAGGCUGAUACUACCAACCUGAGAUGAACUGGCCGCGGAGGAGAGGCGGGGAUCCCGAAUACUCAGGUGAAGUCUGCUCCAAUCCAAGCCGGCGCAGCCACAGCGCAGCCGCCCUGCGCUUUGACCUAUUUGCAAGCACAGCCUAUUAAUAUUUUAAUUAAUUUUUAAUUACCUUUUUUUGGUUAUUUUAGUAGAGGAGUGGCAUCUCCGCUCCGCGUCGCAGCCACAUGCUCUGAUGCCUCCAGAGCACAGUCCACGUUCGCACGGCAGCUCAGCUCUAAGCAGCGCAACGCGUCAUCACGCCGCCCGGUGGGCCCCACAGCCGCCACGGGCCUGGUUGGUGGGCCGUAGCCCACGUGGGCCCACCGGCGGCAAGGUGGGCUUUCUCCUCGUGGCCCAACUGGCGGUGGUGGGCGGCGGAUGGCGGAGGCUGGCGGCGGCGGCGUAACAGAAGGAGAAGGUGGCGGCGGUGGGUGCGGGAGGCGGCGGUGGAACCGGCGGCGCCCCCCAACGGCGGCGCACCCACGGCGGCGUCGGCGGCGCACCCCACGGCGGACCAACGGCAGUUGGCGGCGGCGAUAUGCACGGCGGCGGCGGCGGCGGAAAUCUCGCUGGGGCGGUUAGGAUUCUAACCCUAACCCGCCCCCUCCCCCACCUUUUUGCCUGCCGGCCAAAUUGGGCCGGCCUAGUACUGUUCGGUGGUGGGCUGAAACCUAUAGUUUCGGCCCACCACCCAAUUUACCCUUUUUUUGUUUUAAAUUUUUAUUUUUAGCAGCCAUUACACUUUAGUCCCUAUGUUUUAUGCAAUUUAAUAGAAACAGUUCAUCAGUUGUUCACAUUAUUAUGUAAUGGUCCUAUAGAUCACUGAUGUUAUGUGUUAAUUAACAUAGAUGUUUAUUCAAAUACCCCGUUUCACUAAAUUUAUUUGUUGUCUUAAUAACAUGCCUUUUGCAUAUUAUUUCAAGACACACUCUACUUUCUCGCUUCAUUAAUUUAUAAAAUUCUAUAAAUUUUGUACUUUGAUUUAGCAAAUUCUCUUAAUUAUGUGCAACAUGAUUAAUGGAGGAUUUAAUGCAUGUUCCACUUCACAUUUUGACUCGGAAAUUAAUCACAUGUAGAUGGAGUCCUAUACUUUGGUCAUCACGACCAUAAUUUAGGCAGCGAGUAUCUUGCUCAUCAUCAAGUGGUCUACAUUUUGAGAUGAUUACCCGAUGGAGCCCUACAAAUUGGCCGCACUGGUUAUAACCUAGGCAGCGAGCAUCUCGCUCAUCUCACAGAGGUUUACAUCUCAUGAUGAUUACCCACAUGUGUUAUUUUCCGAGCAUAUGUUUUGAAAAAUGAGAUUAUUUGAAAUUUGAUUGAACACAAGGUAGUGGAGUCCUAAACAUUGGCUGCGGUAUAUUCACCAGAAUAUAUUUGCCUGGAGACCAUGUUUUAGGCAGCAAGUAUAACUUGCCCACUAUUAAGAGAUCUACUCCACUGUUUAAUUACUUGGAGAUUAUCCACAUUGUGCCACCUAAUUUCAAAUCCUAACUCAAAUUGUCAGGUCUAUAACCUACAUCUUUUCGAAACAUUACAAGAUAUGAAGUUUUACAUUUCGCAUUGAGAUUACAACCUCAAUAUCAUGUUUUUAUUAAUUUACCUCUGUAAAUUAAUAGUGUUAAUCAUGAUUAUAGGGACACGGCAACUAUAGAGUUCACCGAACUCGCCCUCGAUGGGAGUAACUACCCAAUUUGGGCUUCUGAUAUCAAAAUAAAUUUUUCUUCUAGUGGGAUUUCACAUACAGAUUAAGAACCCAAUGAUUGGGAUCCACCAGUUGAGAACAGAAAACUAUAUAUUACCUUUUUCCUUCUGAGGUUCUAUAUCUAUAAAGAUCUCAAAUAUGAGUACAUGUUGGAGACGAGCCCUCUCAACCUAUGGAAAGCUCUAAUAGAGCGUUAUGAUCAGCAAAAGGAACUCAUUUGGCCAGAGGCUAAUUAUGAGUGGAUUCAUUUACGCCUACAGGAUUUUAAACUGUGGCCGAAUACAAUCAUGUUGUACAUAACAUUUGCUCCAAGUUGAUAUUUUGCGAUAAGAGCCAACGGAAGCAGAGAAGAUAGAGAAAACUCUAUCAACUAUGUUUCCAGAGGACAAGAUAUUGAACCAAUAGUAUCGCACUAAAAGGAUUUAAGGGAAAUUCCUCGAAUACCCCUACGAAUCUGACUGGAAAACGCAAACGCAACAACAGGCGCAAAUCCAAUGGUCGACAGAAAGGAAAUAGGAAGGGUAAGGCACCACAACCUCGUGGCAAUAGCAACAUGCAUUGCAACAGGUGUGUAUCUGACUAUCAUGUCACUAAAGAUUGCCGCAUCUCAAAAACAUCUUGUUCUCCUGUAUCAGAAAUCCCUAAAGGAGAAAAAGUCUUCUGAGGAACUAAGAUUUGAAGCUCACUUCAAUCUUACAAAAGAAAGACCUGAGGUUGAAAGUUCUCACUAGGCUCCUAUUGAACCAGAGAACACCCUCGUUCUUCUCCCAGAGGAUACCACUGCGCUUUCUGCAAUAGAUGAUAUGCUCAUCGAAUACUGCUCAACGGACCCACUUAGAGAUUUAUUGUAAUCUCAGUGCGUCCCACUUAGAGAUAAAGCUGCUUUAAUCUCAGUGUGUUUAAGACAUUAUAUUGAUAUCCUAUAGUUUGUCAAAACAAUAUUGGUUGUAAUAAGUAGAUAAGUACAAACUCCCUUAUAUUAUAAAGUUGUAAGACUUGAUAGUCAUUAGAGUAUGUACUAUUAACCUAUGUAAACGUCAUACUAUGUAUCUGAUGUUUUCAUUAUUGUAUGUAUGUAUAUAUUGUGGAUAAAGAAUUCUUCACUAAGCAAUUCUUCUUUCACUAUAGAUGUCUAAGGAUAUCGCUCUGAAAUUGUCCUUCUCUCAUCCAUUGUAGCAAUCUAUAUCAAGAAAAUCCUCUAGGCACUACUUAUAGAACAAUAUAUUUCAAAAGGGAGAGCUUAUAAAUGACUAAAUGAACACUAUCACCACCAAGGUCGUGUCCAUAAAAGAUAUAAUGCCCCGAUCUUCAGUGGUUCAGAAACCAGGGUACAGAAAAAAAUCAUUAUAACAGCAUGCAGGCACUGCUCUUAUUUGAACUCAACGGGACAGUUGGAGCAAAGCUUUCCGGUGCACUAGCACAUAAUUUGGCUUUUUCAAGGACAAAUAUCUUCUAGUGUUACCUGUUGAAAACAAAACAGAAAAUGAACAAACCGAAUCAGGGCAAACAUAUAACGCAAAUGUAGAUCCAAUCGUCCAAAGGUAACCUAAAUUGAAAACAAUAAUUCACUGUAAAUGCGCAUUCACAUUUCUUUUUUUAUAUAUGCAAGGAGCGUAUCUUUAUAUUAAGGAGUAAUAAAAGUUAUUUACAGGCACAUUCCCAAAUUUAGGAUAGCAUUACGAAUUUAGUAAAAAAAAUUCAGGAUUCCCCAUUUCACUAUACUUUGAAUACCCACCAAGCAUUCCUGGUAAGAAACAUAAAAUCACACCAAACAAAACAUACUCCAAAAUGACAAGGACUACGAAACUAAGCAGUGAUUCAUCCCAAGAAGGUCGAUCACACGACGAUUGAUCUGGUGUUCUAGGAAUCUAGGCUACUCCUAUAAAGGAAUCAACAAAGAAAAACCUGCAGAAUCCAUUCAUUUAUCAAUCCCUGGUAGAACCCGUCAUACUAGGGCGAACACCCAGCUCCCCAAACCCUACCUCACCGUGACACAGAGCUACAAAUCCAGCCAUAAACCAAUCAAACAAGCAAACAAUUUACCCCUAUUAGGCCUUAACCGCAGAGAUCAUAGCCAUGAUUAACCUAACCAAACCAAUAAACCGCAUAAGCACCGCAUCAGCAGCGGAUCUCUUUGCGGCCACAUGAAAAACAACCAAGCAAUCACCAAGGCUAAUACUACCAACCUGAUCGAGAUGAACUGGCCGCGGAGGAGAGGCGGGGAUCCCGAAUACUCAGGUGAAGUCUGCUCCAAUCCAAGCCGGCGUAGCCACAGCGCAGCCGCCCUGGGCUUUGACCUCUUUGCAAGCACAGUUCUAUUAGUAUUUUAAUUAUUUUUUAAUUACCUUUUUUGGGUUAUUUUAGUAGAGGAGUGGCAUCUCCGCUCCGCGUCGCAGCCACAUUCUCUGAUGCCUCCAGAGCACAGUCCACGUUCGCAUGGCAGCUCAGCUCACAGCAGCGCAACGCGUCGUGCCGCCCGGUGGGCCCCACCGCCGCCACGGGCCUGGUUGGUGGGCCGUAGCCCACGUGAGGCCCACCGGCGGCAAGGUGGGCUUUCUCCUCGUGGCACAAAAGUCAGUGUGUGGCCGUGGCGAGGCCGGCGGAGGCAGCGGCGGCGGAGGAGGAGGUCGUCGUCGCCGGCAGCUCAGCUCAGCUCACAGCAGCGCAACGUGUCAUGCCGCCCGGUGGGCCCCGCCCCCGCCACGAGCCUGGUGGGUGGGCCGUAGCCCACGUGGGCCCAAUUGACAAGGUGGGCUUUCUCCUCGUGGCCCACAAGUCGGUGUGCAGCGGCGGCGAGGCUGGCGGCGGCGGAGGAGGAGGUCGUCGCCGGCGGCCGCGCGGUGACGGGUGCAGUGAAGUUCGGCGCGAAACCUCAAGAGCACCGCAUUUUCUACGCUUUUUCUUUGUUUUUUUUUUUGGCUCGAGUGCGCCUUCGCCGAACAGAUAAAGGCCACGUCUUUUCUUUUGCUUUCUCCUCUCCAAGCGAAGCCACUGCUUCUACUGCGUCGACUUGGAAUUUUGCCGAAUCUUUUUUUCCUAUGCAUUUGGCAAGACCAAGAAAACAAAAAGAAAAGAGAUUAUUAAUCAUGGCGACACGAAUGGAAAUGGUUAAUAAUCGCAUUGAAAUCUAAAUCCGAUCCUACUAAAGAAUUAAUUAAAAAAUAGGAGUACUAAUAAUGGGCAUAGAUAGAGGGAGACCUCACUCUCAGCAUAAAAAAAUUCCAUCUUUGCAGGCAGACGCAGGUGCACUUGCUUCAGUCACCACCUCCUCUUCUCCUUUGCCGACUCCUGAGCCAUCAGUGUGGCCUAACUCGUGUGACUUUCAAAGUAAGAGUAUCUACGACUUCGAUUCUUUUAUUGCCUUUCUGAUUAAUGAAUAGUGGUAAACGAAGCAAUAGGAUUUGACUCCUGGAGAAGGAGAAGCUAAGAUAGCACUGAGCUCUUUCUAGAUACACAUCCUUCUCCGCGGCCAUUUCUUGGAGCAAAUCUCAUUUUGCACAGCCCCAAAGAUUUCUUCAUCUUUGAAGGCAAAAAAAAAGAUGGUCCUUUUUCGAGGGAAAUAGGGGGGAAGAUGGCUAUGAAGAGAGUGGUGUUUCUGUUGCUGCUUGUGGCGGCAUCUGCAUUGGUGAAGUCGUCAAGAGGAGGAGGAGGAGGGGAGGAGAAGUUGGGGAAGUUCUAUGGAUGGCGGCGCCAUCUUUCUUCUGGACCAGCUGCCUCUUCGUUGGUUCUCAGUGGGGAUCUCGUAAGGCGUCCAUAAACCUUCUCCUUUGCAUGCUAGAUAGAAGUAAUCGAUUCAAUAGCUCUAGUUUACUUUGCUUGAUUUGGACUUGUUAUCUGCCAAGAACUUCGAAUAUGACUUCCAUUUUGUCUUCUUGAAAGUGAGGCAUUCAGGCCUUUUUUGUUAUUUACCGUUGUUAUGUUUAGUAUAUUUCGUUAUAACAGAAAUAUGACUGAUUGUUUCUUGAUCUUUAUUGUGCUCACUUUAGUCAAUCAGGAUGAGCAGUAAAUUUUACUUAGUUCAUAUAUAUUAUAUGAGAACAAUUUAACAGAUAGCUUGAUGCAUUAACAAAUAAUCCUUACUGUGAUGCAGGUAGACAAAAUAUGGUCAGUUUGCUUACAAGACAUAGUUAGCCCAGAGGAUACAUUUGGCUUUGGGGAAUCAUUUGCCUGGGAUGAGUUAUCGAGUCAUUCCACGGAAGAUGAACUGAAGGCAACACUGUUCAUGGAACUUAUGGCUCUUCUUCCACCUGAGAAAUCUUCUUUUACUUAUGAUUGUAUCCGUGCAAACUGCUUCAGCCUGGGUGUUCCACAAAUAUUCAGUGUUGCACUGAGCAACUAUCUUGAGAGCCAGAAAUCAUUGGUCGGUUCAAACUUCUAUCCGAGACGGCGUUUGGUAGAUAAACUGAUCGGAGAUGCUCCUUCCAUGGCUCCAGCUUUCGCACCAUCCAUGUCCUCUGGCGGUGAAGUUCACUCUCCCCUCUCUGUGGCGGAGGCACCACUUACACCUUCCAACUCUCUGAACAUGGAACCUCCCAGCCCAUAUUAUCCCAGUAAAUCUGCACACAAGCAUCAGGGAGUGGCACCUCCAGUUUCACCUUCAGAGGAGUAUCAUGACUACAUGAAAGUAGUCUUGAUCGCUGUUCUUCCAACAGCCGCACUCUCAUUCCUAGCUGCAUUUCUAUGUUUCUACUGCUGUGGAUGCAACAAAAGCAAGGUCUCGGUUGGCGAGCAACGAGAUGACCAUCCUCUUCUUCACUUGCAGUUCUCUAACUUGCCUGGUGAGGAUACAUCCCUUCUAUCAACAUGGUAGAUUAUUAUUGGUAUGGUAGUAUAUCAUCUAUCAUUUGAAUGGCAGGUUCGUCACCUGAUGUGCAUGUUCCUGCCAGCCCGCUUCAUAAGGAUGAUCAUGGGGUUAGGCCAUCCAAUGCUGGUGUAAGCAUGAGCAAGUGCUUUCCAUGUUGUUUUAAAACCUCAAGUGAUGCCACAACACCUACACUAGUAACUGGAGGAACACAGGAGAACAAUGCCACAAGUGAUGCCCCUAAACUGAUGCCUCCGCCACCCCCACCUCCUCCACCUCCACCUCCACCUCCCCCUCCACCUCCUCCGCGUCCACCUCCUCCGCCUCCACCUAUCAAGAAGGGUGCUCCACCACCUGCACCUCCUAAAGCCACCAUGGCAAGAUUUCCUAAGCUGUCACCUACAGAGUCAAGUCGUUCUGAAGAGUCAUCUGCAAGCGAGCUGGCCAGUGAAUCGUCUGAAACUGAGGUGAAUGCUCCAAGAGCCAAGCUCCGGCCUUUCUAUUGGGAUAAAGUUCUUGCUAAUCCUGAUCAGUCAAUGGCCUGGCAUGACAUCAAAUUUGGUUCUUUUCAGUAAGUUUUUAAAUUUAGCAAUGGCAUGUAUUCUAAGUUCAUUUAGGCUUGCAACUGACGACUGCAUUCUGCAGUGUGAACGAGGAGAUGAUAGAAGAAUUGUUUGGUUAUGGUGCUGGCAACCAAAACAAUGUCAAGGACAAGGAAAUUUCCAUUGCAGAUCCUUCACCUCAGCAUGUUUCUCUUCUUGAUGUUAAGAAAUCAUGCAAUCUGGCAGUUGUUUUUAAGGCAAUGAAUGUGAGGGCAGAGGAAAUUCAUGAUGCUCUGGUUGAAGGUAGUUGAACUAUUGCAUAUAUUUACAUGCAGCCUACUUACCCAUUUGCCAAAAAAAAAAAAAGCUCCUAAAGUUUCCAUUAUCGCUGUAAAUACAAUAUGUUUGCACCGCCAAAGAUAACAUUGCACUUAUAAAUGAGCCUUUUGAAAAAAUGGAAUGCUCGUUGCAUUCUAUUUAACUGAUACAAGAAUUCGACUGCAACUAUAGCAAGUUUACUUAUUAAACUAUAUACUGUGCAUUUCUAAGCACAUGUAUUUGUGGCCAUCCUCUUUUAGUUUCUUGUCUGUCUUUGUGAUUGUGGCCCAUCUCAUUUCAUAUCAGGCAAUCACAGUGAAAACAUGUUUCAUAUUGUGUAUGCAUUGGUCAUUUACUAUAUCAUAUGUUCUCUUGUUCACUAGAUGUAGCUGUUGAGGUCUAAGUAGUACACACAAAGUUGAUGCUGUGCUGGUUCACUUCAAUAUACUUCUGACAUUGUCUUCUGUCACAUUAUGUUAUGAAGGGAAUGAACUUCCUAGAUUACUUCUUGAGACAAUCUUGAGGAUGAAACCGACUGAUGAGGAGGAACAGAAACUCAGGCUUUAUAAUGGGGACUGCUCGCAGCUAGGCCUAGCAGAACAAGUGAUGAAGGCACUAAUUGAUAUUCCUUUUGCUUUCGAGAGGAUUAGAGCUUUGCUUUUCAUGUCCUCUUUGCAGGAAGAUGCUUCAAGUCUAAGGGAAUCAUUCCUCCAAUUGGAGGUAAUCCAUCUGAAAGUAGUUGACUUCUGUAUUAAAUCUGCGAAGUAUUCCAACCUUUUUUCUCCAAGUGUUCAGUUUUUUAUCUGUUUGUGCCAGGCUGCUUGCGGUGAACUCAAGCACCGCCUUUUUCUGAAACUACUAGAAGCCAUUCUCAAAACUGGAAAUCGUUUGAAUGAUGGGACGUUCCGUGGUGGUGCUAACGCGUUCAAACUUGACACUCUUCUUAAGUUAUCAGAUGUCAAGGGAGCUGAUGGGAAGACCACAUUGCUGCACUUUGUUGUUCAAGAGAUCAUUCGAUCUGAAGGUGUUCGCGAAGCAAGACUCGCCAUGGAAAAUGGAAGAAGUCCACCAUUUCCUAGUACUUCGGAUGACAAUUCCAAUGAAUCUCUACAGGAGGAUGGCAAUUACUACUCCAACCUUGGCCUUAAGAUUGUAUCAGGGCUUAGUAAUGAGCUGGACAAUGUCAAGAGAGUAGCAGCACUGGAUGCUGAUGCUUUGUCUACAAGUGUGGCAAAUCUGCGACACGAAUUAUUGAGAGCCAAAGAAUUCCUGAACUCCGACAUGGCAUCGCUAGAAGAGAACAGUGGAUUCCACCGCUCGUUAGAAAGUUUCAUAGAACAUGCAGAGACUGAGACCAAUUUUCUCCUGAAAGAAGACAAGAGAUUGAGGAUGUUAGUGAAGAGAACGAUUCGAUAUUUCCAUGGAAAUGAUGAGAAAGAUGACGGUUUUCGCCUGUUCGUCAUUGUAAGAGAUUUUCUGGUGAUGCUAGAUAAGGCAUGCAAGGAGGUUGGUGCUUCACAAAAGAAGGCAACAAAUAAAUCUCAAGCCAAUGGCAACUCUAAUAACCCAUCAUCCCAGUCAAAUCCUCAGGAGCAACAGUUUCCUGCUGUUUUGGAUCAUCAUUUUGAUAGCUCAGACUCUAAUGAUUGAAGAUAGAUACAAUCUUAGAUACUAAGAUACAUACAUUAUGUUAGAUAUUUUAUAUUUUUUCGCCCGAGACCAUGUAAAAAGUCCCAUUUGCAGAGGCAUUGUUCAUACAUAAUCACAUUCACAUAGAUAGAUUUGAAACUUCAUACAUGCUAUUAUGCUAUAACAUUCAGUAUCAAAUCUGAAGUUCUGAACUCAGCCUAUCGUUAGAUUCUAUUUUCUUUGGUAAGAGUAUUCAUAUCCCGACCCCUCCCCACAUGUGUCAUUUCCCAGAUAUUUUUAUUUUAUUUUUAAAGUCAAACCUUUUCUUUUCAUUUUUUGAAAGCCAAAACAUUUUCAACCGUGUGAUGGAAACCAAAACCUUCAGCACCCUAAAGACGAAAAAAUAAUUAGUAGGAUAUGGUAUAUUUCAGAAAACUGGAUCUAUUUUAUCAAUCUAUCACUUUGCUACAAUGUUAUCCACGUAUUUUAAAGAAUUGCAAUAUUAGUGUAUGGUUUUAUCAAAAAGAAAGAUACAACUUAAUUUGUGUGACAAGUUUAAGUCCACAUACACUGUCCAUUAUAAAUUGGGUAUAUGUCAUACUAGAAAUGUGGUCCCGUGACCAUGGUAGGUUUUUACUCUUUUAGUAGCUUUAUAUAGUCCAGUUCUUAUAAUCAUGUGUAUAGUGUUGGGCAAAACUAUAUCCCAUCAGGUAGAUGAGUUUGGGUCCAUUCUAUGAGCACCCGUCCCGUCUACCAUGGGUAAAAAACACUCGUAGAUCUAGCGAAAAAAAAUUACAGUGGCCUAAGACCAAAUCUUAGUAUGAAAUCAUCUCACCUAACCACCUAUCAAUCCUACCAAUAUUCUCCAUUGCCACACAAACCGCAAGUAAAAGGCAGUGCUCGUGGUGGCGGCUAGAACCACUCAUGACUCAUUAUGCUCGUGAGUUGCUAUGCGACCAAGACAAGACAAGGGAGGUAGCGGGGCUCAUGCGGUUAUAGGGGGUAGGGAAAACGGGAUUGAGGAGUCACACUCUCAUCACAUCUCUAGUCUCCUUCACAUCAGUCUCUUACCAUUUCCCAUUCCAAUCGGUGGUGGAUCCAGGUACGGAGGAAAUCUUGUACCCAUGACAAUUGUGGGUGUUAGAGCAAAAUGUUUUGACUUGCAUAGGUGUGUGCGGGGUAUUAGAACUGGCGGGUGUAUUUGCUAUAUUUAGUCUUACACACAUAGGGGAUAAAUUAGUAGUUAUAUGAUAAAUUCCGUUGCUAAAGUUACAAUUUUAUGAAAAAUAGCCAGCUAAAGUUAUACAAAGUGAUGGUGUUUGCCAAAGGGAGUAUCUAAAGAAUUGCCACAAAUUUUUUGAGUCAAAAACUUUCAGAUAUAACAACUUAUAUAAAACUUGCAUUCAACUAUGGUUUAGUUAGCUAAUAUUGGGAUCUUACGUGUGAUAUGUGUGAAAUUUUUUUUCCUUCAUGCACAAAUCGUAGGACGAUCCGAUGGUCACAAAUUUGGAAGUUUUGGGAGUAGUUAUUUUAGCAAAUCCGUUACCAAAUAAGGCUGUGUUCGGAGGAGGGGGUUGGGAACCCCUCCUCCUCGGCACGCAAAACAAAGUUCAUUUUAUUGCAUGAUCAAUUAAGUAUUAACUAUUUUUUUAAAUAGAUUAAUAUGAUUUUUUUAAACAACUUUCAUACAUAAAGUUUUUAUAUAAACCACACCGUUUAGCAGUUUGAAAAGCAUACGUACGGAAAACAAGAGAGGUGGGUUGGGAAAAUGGGGGAAGAACACAGCCUAAGCAGUUUUGUGAAAUUUUCUCGAUAAUAGGAUAAGAUCUUCUAGGAUGCACAAUCCUACCCGUCCAUUUCCGAUCGGACGGCACCGGUGACACCCAAGAGCAACCCAGGCCGCCUCCUCUCCCCCAAAACGCGCACUCGUGUGCUUUCGCCUUCCAUUCUCCAAACCCUCGCGGGAGAUCGGAAUUCCCCACCCCGGAGCGCCGGAUCCACCACCGAUCGUCGGCGGCGGCGGCGGAGGAGGCUGCGACGGCGGAGGCGGAGAUGCUGGGCCCUCCUCGCCGCGGGCCGGCGUACAAGACGAAGCUGUGCGCGCUGUGGCAGCGCGGCAACUGCAACCGCGACACCUGCAGCUUCGCCCACGGCCACGGCGACAUCCGCCGCCCGCCGUCCUCCCGCGGCGCCUUCACGCACCACCCGGGUAUGGAUUGCCCCCCUCCCCCCUCGCGCGCCCCCCUGUUCGUUGUUUGUCUUCGAGAUCCCCCGCCCCUGGGUUUAGGGUUUCUGGUGUCUAGUGCAGGAGGCGGAGGGCGUUGGAUGUCCUAGAAUUUUUUAUUUUAUCGUCGUGAUUGUCGAUAAGCUUAGAUUAGAUGUAUGCGUUGCUAGAUGGCUAGAUGUGAAAUGGAAGUGCGGAAACCGGACUAUUGGAUUAUGUCAAGAGUAGUAUUUUCACAAAAGCCGAGUGAUAAUGUUAUAAGAGUGAGCAUUGGAAGUUUGGAACUAAGCGGCUGGUUCUGGAGAACGUGACAUACUGGGCGGUAAGCCCGAAUGCGAUGUUUGGCUUCCCAUGCAAAAAAGGAAUGUCAUAAAAAGUGGAAAUUGCUGGAAUGUUGCCUUUUAAGAGGACAUUCGAUACCCAUGAAGGAGUUAGGACUUAGGAGAGAAUCCAGUCAUUGCUGUAAACCUUCUUUAUGAUUCGCGCGAUAGUUUGCUGGCUUUUUUGUCUUGUUCUAUUGCGUUUGUGAUUUUUACUGUAUUUCUUAUACGAGUGCUUGAAUUCAACCACCAGUUGCUGCAGAUAGAAAAUAAUUCUAACAAGUGGAAGCUUGUUGCAGAAUUAGGUGGCAUUCUUACUGGUUGUCUUUUGAUUUAAUUAUCAUUCAAACUAGCAGACUCUGCAGAUAUGUUGACUCAACUGCUGCCAGAGGAUAGCAUGACCUUUUUCAUAAAUUCUUCACUUGGUAUUUCGACGAUUUGUGUUGACGAUAAUGCUUGUGCUGUACCAGAAGGUGAACUUGUGAGGAUCUUGGAUGAUGCCUCCAUUGAAUGAUUGCCAAUAAUAUAUUCAAUGUGAUACAAUCAUGCCAUUAGCUGGCUUUGCAAUUACUGGGUCACACAUUAUAUGAUUAUGGUGCAUCAGCUAGUUCCAUUGGAAGUAUUAUUCUCACUGGUGAUUCAAACAUUUUGUGAUUCUUCACAAGUCGCCAUUGAAGAUAUCUGAGCAAAUGCUAGUAUAUGUAUGGGAUAUUGGGACUAUGCCAUUAUGGAAGACCUUUCUUCAUCAUACUUGCUAUAUGAGGUUAUUUAUGGAGCACUCAUCCAUUUCACUUCAGACGAUCAACAUUAUUAUAUUAAUGGGUGAAUCAGUGGUUUCUUGUCGUAUCUUGGUAUAUGCUUGUGCAUUAUUUUUUGGCCCUACUUUUUUUGUGGCUAAUGGCAUUAUCCUGGAGCCCCAGCUACUUAUUGCUAAUUGAAUAAUCUUGUAGCUCAAUGGUCUUGGUAAGCUUAACAGGAUUAUGGGUGUCCUACUAUCUAUAUAUUACUUCCUUUUUGUUUUUUGUUUCAUAAGUUGCUUCCUUUGUAUAAAACUUGCACCUCCCUGACUUCUAGGGAGAAGAGAUUAUAGAGCCGGUGAUUUCAGAGGCAGGAUUGAUAGGAGGUUUUCACCUCGGAGGAGGCAUUCCCCUGGAAGAGAGUCCAGGGGUCAUCGUCCCCUUUAUGAUAGAAGGCCAUCUUCUCGAGAAAGAGGUAAUAACUGCUUUCUUUCUCUGUCGUGUGUGUAUUUGCAUGUGUGUAUACAACUGUUUCUGGUCGCUUCUACAUACUGAUUGCUUUUAAGUUUAUGCUAUUUAUAAACUCAUAAAAAUGUGAUUUCUUACUGCAGAUUCUAGCUAUUCACGAUCUCCUAGCAGGAAGAGGUACAUAUUUCAUUUCAUCAUAUGAGCAUGAUCUUUUGAAGUUAAAUUCUAAAUAUGCUGUGAGUGCAUGUUAAAGCCCUGAUCAAAGUUCAAUUUAUGGUGUCUUUGCUUAUCUUUAUCAUCGAUUUAUUAGUAUAUUGCCUUGUCGUGUUUCUAUUGGUCUUGCAUUUUAGUUUUUCAUCAUUGUUAAUCACCAUUUGAUAUGCUUGAGUUAAGAUCCACACAAGCUACAAUUUUAGUUCUGUAGUUUUAUAUUAAUGGUGCUGUAAACUAUCAUCAACAUAUUUGUUCCAUUAUAAUGCUAAAAUUAUCUUGCUCAGAAUGGUAAGGUUUUGUAUUCUUCCUGCAGAUUGUACCUGGUGAUACUUACUAUCUAUCACUCAAAUUAUUUGUUUUGUUUUCAUAGUCAUAAGCAUGUUUUCCUAAAGGUCAUGCAAGCACUUGUAUAAGCUGUAUUUUGCGAUCAAAGUAGAACUUGAUAUUUGAACACUGGCAUUUCCGUUGGAAUUGUGGUUGGGUUUACUAGAUUUAUUCUAGAUGCCUUGAACAUGUUGAGUCGUGCUGAACUGGUAAUUUACUUUUCCACAAUCUAUCCUUUAUUUCCAGUGAGAGGAGGCAUGAAAAGAAGACUGACGAUGGAGAAACCAACUCAUCUAGGAGUUUAAGUCUCUCUGAUAACAACGAUGAAAAGAAAAAGGACAAAUUCUCAAGUGGUGAUGAGAAAGAAGACCACGAAAAGCAGGUAUGAGAAAAAUGUAAUCAAAUUCAUGGCUUAUACAAGCACAUUUGGCACAAUCUUCAUUGCAUAAUUAUGAAUAUUGUGCAGCUGAAACAAAUACGGCUGGAUAUGGAGGCUUUGCGUGACGAUAAAACUCAGAUGGAGGUCAGUUUCUAUUUGUCUCGCUAUAUUUGUUACAAUAUGGCACAUGCUACCAUGUUAACAUUUUGACUGCCACUUUUUAUUCACUCAUAAAAAGGAGUUGGUGGUUGUGAUGAUAGGUUCCACCAUCCCAUGCCAUUUUAAAAGAUCUUUUGUGGAUGAAUCUACCUUAGUGUGUGUGUGUGAAUUGUAGGAUCUUUUGUAAAGGAUUACAUCUUCUGCACAUGUAGACAUGCAUAAGAUGAUCGAUUGACGCAAGUCAUAUAUUCUAUUUUAAAUUUGUUACUAAUUUGUCAUAUGUAGACAUGUAUUUUUAUAAAAAAGUUCAAAACUAAUGGCUUAUUUAUCUGUGGUAUGCUGCAAUGAAUGAGCUUAUGAGCACUAUGCUAGUAAUGUGUAAAUUGAGAAAUGGUAAUGCAUGGAUUUCAUCAAGUGUUCAAAGCGUAGGUGACUUUUCACUAGUCCAGUACUGCUGUGCCAACUAUCAACUAAUAGUGUUUGCAUGUAGAACUUAGUAUGUGGGUAUUGUUUAUCAUCUUUAAUUUCAGACAUAUUCUCCAUUCUGUUCAUGUUUGGCACAGAGAUUGCACAUCUUCCAAUCAUUUAAUAGUAGUCAUGCUUGACGAAUUGGUUGGCAGUGCGUCUUUCCAUGAAUAACCCCAAGAGUACCCUCUAGUCUUGUGUCCACUUUGGACCUUCAUUGACUUAUUGUACUUGAGUUUAUUUAUUUUUGUCUUCCUGUCAUGUUAUAUUUUCCGACUGAGCUUUGGAGCGGGUCAGCACUCAGCAGGCACAUUAUUAUAUGGUGCUUGCGCUCUUGUUUCAAAUGCUUUCUAUUUUAUGGCUGUGCUAAUAUUUCAAAUUUUCAAUGGUGCUGCAAGAAUUUGAUUUCACAUUGUUUUUAGCAUCUCGUGAACACAGUACUUGCUAACUACUACUUUAGAAAAGACUCCUGCUUUUUUUUUUGUUUCAUGGAAUGAUAUUACAAAACAUCCUACUUGGCCAUGUCUCUCUUUUAGACUUUUAGAAAAAGUCAAGCUCUUAGAAAUGUUACAUAAAUAAAUGUACACUAAUUUAUAAAUGGUUCCUUAUAAUUUGAAAAAAGUUUGCAUUAAAGACACCAUUUAAUAAUAUUCCUACUUCAUCACUGUUAUGAGCAUGGGCCAGGCCGAUGCAGCAGUUUAGGCACGAUAAAUUAGGAAUAAGUCAUAUAAUGGUAGGAGAUUAUCUAGUUAGGAAAGAGAUGAAGUUUAUUAUCUAGUUGGGAUUGAUUUCUAUGAUACUAUAGACUAUCCUUGGAUGUCAAGCCUGUCCUCCCUAUAUAUAAAGGGACCCCAUGUACUCUAUCAUUAAUCAAUCAAUGAAUCUCUAAAGUUAGCCCUAAUCCUCAGAGCCUCUUUUAGCUGAGCAGGGAGAAGCCUUGCCGCUGCUAUUAGUGAGCGAGUGCCCUAUCACUGGGUCUUCGGACCCUUACCCUAGCUACUCCAUAACAGUCACUACCCAUUGCUUGUACUUAGUUCCAUUCACGUCUAUAAUGUUAGAUCAUGCUGAAUCUUUGCUCCAAACUCUUAACUCUAGUCAACGCACUUACCUAUUUGUAGGUCAUUUUGGAUGAGAAGAUAGAUGAAGUGCGCAAGAUCUCUAGCAAAGUUAAUGAUCUUGAGGUGCAGCUUAGAAGGGAGAAAGAUGAAUGCCAUAGGUACUUAAGCAAUGUUUCCACAUGACAAUGGCACAUUAUCUUGACAGUAUUAUCCAAUAGUUCUAUAUUGUUUUUCUAUACCUUUGUAGGAUGACCUCAAAGAUGAAGAAGUUUAUUAAAGCUCAUGCUCGGUUUUUGAAGGCACAAGAAGAAGUGAAAAGGUGCUUUAUGUUUUCAUCAUGUUUGGCCUUGUAAUGCUAGUACACACCAGAUUACUCCUUUUUGCAUAACUAUCAAUCAAUAAGUGUUCACCAAUUGGAGUUAUGCAGGUCACAAGCUCGUUUCGAGAGGCUUGGUGAUUUGCUUGCUUCAGAUAUUUUGAAGCGUGGUGCUAAUGAAGAGGGGUCCAGUGUCAAUGAAGACCUAAACGAAAGGAGUCCUAAUACUGCAGCAACUAAAAAGAGAUCAAUCCCAUACUCAACAAGUGAAGAAGCGAAAGCUGGUAUGUAGCUUAGUUUCUCGGGACACUCUGAUUGCCAGGUUGUGAUUUGUACAAUAUGGAUCUUGGUGUUAUGCAGCAUCCAACUUUCCCCUUCUGUUAAACUGAUAUAUGUACCUCUUUAUGGAGUAACCAGUCGAUCCUAGUAUGAAGUAGUUCAAAUGUUCCUUUAUUUAAUAUUAAGCAUUAAAAUUGAUGUGCUUAGUUUUCUUACAGUAGCACUGAAGGAUGCCUAGUUUCUUUUAUAAUUGGAUUUUAAUUCUUUCUGCAAAUUGCUGAAGAAGUGUCUUAAUUAUGUACUUAAACCUAAUUGCUUGUCUCCUCAGUGAAGAAGAGAAGAGAGCGAGACUCUGAUACAAUGACUAGGUCAGAUAAAUAUAGGUCAGAUGUUACAGAUUUUGAUAAAACAAGUAAGGGGACUGAGGCAACCAAGUCUUUAUAUUUGAAGAAGAAAUUAUGGGAAGAUGAAAAAAGUAAGCUAGGAGCCAACAUUUUCACAGAAAAGGUGCACCAUUUCUCCCGCCCGCUCUCAAUUUUAUGAUGAACUACAUAUCAUACUUAGUACACUCAGUCCAGUGCUUUGUUUAAACAUUAUCACAUAUUGCUAGCCUAUGCAUUUGAUUGCACUGUAUAUAUCUCUACUAGUGUAAAAGCAGAGUUGUCCUUCCUUCCCCUCUUCCCACCUACCGCGUACAGCGAGAGAGUGAAAAACCGAAAGGCCAAACUUAUUACUUGUCUAAACAAAAAGCCUAGUUGAUAUUUGGAAAGUUCGGUCAUUGCCAGACCUUGUAUUGAAACUGAUAGGCUUCCUUGAUCAUCAGGUCCUAAAGCCCUUCUUGGCUAUGUUGGCAUCUGUAUUUAUCUUUGUUUGAUUGUGCUUAUCACAGGCAAAUAUUUUGUUAACUUGCAGGUCAAAGGUUCUCCCGUCAGACAUGUUUUGCCCUCCACUGGCAUGGCUGCUCAUGCUAUUGAUGAUCUCAACGAAGCUAUUGAACUGGAGGACAGACAUGAAUCCAUAGACGCAUUACUAGAAAAUGAUGCUGAUGACAAAACUAGAUCACCUGCUAUUCCCCUGCAGCCACCACCAGUGGUACAGAAUGCUUAUGAGCAGGUGAUUAAAUUUUCACCUUUCCAAAAAAAAAUAUUGGACCUGCUUACAUGCACGGUCAGCGGCAUGGAACUGGACAGUGCAUUUUGUUUAUAAAAAAUCGUUGUACUAAAAAAGCUCCUUUUUUUUCCCUGUGCAUUUGCUAAUUUGCUGAAAAAGCAAACUCAUAAUUUGUUUCAUCUUUUCCCAGUAUGAGGGUGAUGACGAGGAAGUCGAUGUGGAAUAAGUGGAUGGCCUCGUUUCUAGACAAGAGGCCUCUGAUGAAGCAAUGGCGAGAUUAGCAUCUUCCCCAGCUCCUUAUAAUUAGUACUAUUAGCAUCUUGGUGUACAAAGUGCUAUCUAUUUGACAUUGGGAAUUCAGCUUAUAUUUAUCAAGAAUCCUUUUGUAGUAACAUCCUUGGCGCUGAGACAGCCUUAGUCAACUAUGUGGAGCAGCCGUAUAAAUACUCCAUAGAGUGUCUGGUUUGGCUAAGCUAAUGACGUAUGGUAUGUGCGCUCCUUCUGCCCUGGGGAUUGCGACGCCAGAUGUGUCUACCUUCUUUAUCGCUGCAUUCAGUUAAGAAGAAGAAAUGCCAAAGAUGAACAUUUCAUGGUCAUCUGGCUAGUCGAGCUGAGCGUGUAAACUGGGUAAAGCAAGAUAUCCUGAAUUGAAUUCCUGAUGCCUUUGUACAGCCUCCCCAAGACCCGAAAAAGCUAGGGUUUGCUGCUGGCCUGGUGCUGCGGAGCGGGCAUGAGCGCCAGCUUUCUCCCUCGCUGUUAAGGGUGUAAUAAGGGGUUAAUUUGUGAACCCGCUUAUAAAUCAAAAUCUUCUCAUGGCUGGUCGUCCUCGCUCUCCUGUCGUCGGCUUCUCCUCCAUCGCCGAUGAUCAUCACUCUAUCAUCAGCUCUAUCGUCAAUUCGUCUCCUGUGUUUCGGCCUGGCCAGAUUAACCUAAGCAGAAAGAGCAGUAGUUUUAUCAGUUGGUUAUAUUGACCCAAGCCAGAAAUAGCAGUAGUUUUAUCGGUUGGUUUUAUAAGUCGUAACAAUAUGUAUCUCACGACUUAAAAAAAUAAUAUAUAAAAAUAUCAUGUUGGAAAUAUCCUAAAAUUAACUUUAUAAUUUAAAAUCGACUCAAAUAUCUAAAUUUUAAGUUUAUCAUACCCGGGAGGUUAUCCUCGUCGAGAGAAACCGACCCGGUUGAUUUUCCUGUGUCUAUAUAUAUCGACCGAGUUGAAGCCUCAAGAGGAGGAAAGGAUCGACCCCGACCCGACCCGAAGUCCCGACCCCAACCAGAGAGAGGCGCGCGCGUGCGGGUGCGGUGCGGUGCGGAUCGGAUCGGAUUGGGCCGAGUCCCCGACCCCACACCACACACCCCCUCCUCUCCCCGUCCGCGAGGGCUCCGGCCUCUCCUCCCUCCCGCGAUCCCCUUCCCCUCCGCCUCUCGCCGCCGCGCCGCGCCUCGCCGCGCCUCCAGCCAUCGCCGUCGACCGCGCGCGCGCGCGAGAGGUUCGUCUCCGUCCUCCUCCAUCCCAUCUCUCUCCCCUUCCAUGGAUAUUUCCUUCCUCUUCUCUCGGGUUUCUUCUCUUCUACUUGAUGAGAUUUUGUAUGCAUGUAUGUAUGUGUGUGCGUGGGGGGAUUGGAUUGAUUGGAUUUGGAGCGCGCCUUAGAAAUUCGAGGGGUUUCCUGCGCUCUGUUUGCUUUGCUCCCUAGAUUUGCCACUCCGAUUUCAAACUCUUCGAGUACCAACCAACCCUUGCGGUAUUUUUGCUCUUCGAAUGAGGUUAUGAGAUCUCAUGAGCCACUUAGUUUUCAGACAUGCAGAUGCGCGCAUGUCGCCUCCAUGUUGCCGGCGUACCAUCUGUUUUUUUUUUCUUCUGUUAUUUUUUUCGUUUCAUAAGAUUACCAUGUGCUAGUAAUUACUGUGAGUGAUUUUAUCAGAGACCCACUAAUUUUUUAUGCCUUAAUUUGUUUUCUCUCAUUUUUUGCAGAGCGGCUGUACGCGAUUCACAUGUGCGGUAAUUUACCUGCCUACUGCCGCCAACCAGAAGUGGAAUAUACCCUAUCCUAAUUUUCUUUCUUCGGAUGAAAGGUCUGCCAGUCUGCGUCAGCUAUGGCACAGAGUUCGUCCCGGCUUCACCGCCUGCUCACAUUGCUAGACAGUAUCCUUUCUGCAAGACUAUGGUUCGCUAUGCUUGCAGUUUUACAGAUGAUCACACGCUAUGCUAGGUUAUACUCUGUACCGAUUCUCUGAUAAACUAAGCAAAUUGCCUCAUGAAAUGUGCAAAUUAGCUGGGCUAAAACGUACAGUCUAUGCUUUUGCAGUCGAACAUAUAUCAUUUGAUAUCCCCUUUGGUUUAUCUAUCUAUUGUGCAAAGUUUCCUUUAACACAACUAGCUGGUUCCACGCAAGCGACAAGGUUCGCUGCUGCACGGCAAAUUGGAGAAAUUGCCAAGUCCCACCCCCAGGAGCUAAAUGUCUUACUCAAAAAGGUAUACCAACAAUUCCACCACCUGCUAGUUUUGUGGAUCCUUCUACCUGAAAAUGUUUGCUUAAUAUAAUAUGUGUAAGCUAUGAUGUGUGAUGUGCGAAAUGCCCAACUUUUAGUUUCUUCAAUUCAUGCUUCGCUUGCUUGGUAGCACAAAAAUGAACCCUGCAGUUUUAUGUUAUGCUGAAUUUUCAGUGGUGUUGAAGUUAUAGAUUUUCCUUUUCUCGGACAUGCAGGAUAUCUGCAUUAUCAUUAUAUUAAGAAGGAAAAGGGUAAAAGAACCCUGAUUACAAAACACCCACACACCCCAGCUCUCAGGCUACAUGCCUGUCCGUGCUAACAAGGACCACACGCAGAAAAGAAAACAGCGACCAAAACUGCCCCUCUUCAACCUGAAACUAAACACGAGGCUGUAGACAGUUAAGAAGGAUAGCCCUCUAGCCUCAGCCAAACACCAAAACCGCCCCUCCUCUUCAGCAAGCAGGAUGGCACUAGCCAAGUUUGGAGCAGCACUAUUGAGGGCACAUCGGUUUCGAUGCUUCCAAAGCGUCCAAGCACCAAGAAUGACUAGAGAAUUAAGGCCCUGUUGCACUGGACCGUUGGUUGCCUCGUUGGUCCUGUUCCACCAAAAUACCCUGACCAAAGCGCUGUCGGAGUGAGAACCAAAAUUUCCUCGCGAAGACACAACUAGUGAGUAGAUAGAUGAUUAUUUCAUCAGCUUGGUCGCAAUGAGGGCGUUGAAGUUAUAGAUUAAAUAUCAAACUUUGAGGGAUAUAUGAUUUUGUGUGAUGUCUGUUGUAAGAUGCAAUGCCCUCCCAUGCAUUGAUUGAUGGAUGUUUGUUCUAUGAGAAGUAACUAUUACUGCCUUCAUUAUCUAUUAUAUCAAGGUAGUAACAUGCUCAUCCACUGGAGAACAAGCUUGUUUUCUUUUUACACAUGUUCUGCGGAGAAUGGCUGGCUGAUAUUUAUGCUUUUAUGUUAUGGUUUUAGGUUUCUCCAUAUUUACGUAGUAAGAAUUGGGACACAAGGGUCGCAGCAGCCCAUGCGAUUGGUGCCAUAGCAGAGAACGUCAAACACACAUCGGUGAAAGACUUGUUCGCAUCUGCAGAAGCAGAAAAACAUGCUUCUGGGUUGUCUGGAAUUGGUGAUGUUGGGUCAACGUUGCGGCAUGCUGAUACUACUGCAACAUCUGAGCUUGCUUUUGGAAGGUUUGUUGAGAAUUCUUUGAAACUUUCCUAGUGCUUAGUAGACCUUCCCGCUCUUCUUUUUUGCCUAAUUGGAAAUGGACAAACUAAUUCCGUUUAACUUCUUUUUACAGCUUCGAUAUAAACAGGGUGUUGGAAUUUGGAUCUCCUUUAUUGGCAUCAGGUGGACAGGUGUAUUUUCUUCUUACCAUUAUUUUGCCUUGUCAUAUUUAAUGAAUACAAUUAAAAUACUGUGGUUUUUUUUUCAGGGCAAUGUUAUUUUCAGAUUCAAUCCAUUUUUUUCUUUUCUGAUAGUGUCAUGCAUCCAUCUAUUGUUUGUUUUUCUUUGCCAUAUGUCAACUUCUUGAGGGCUUUCUAUUUUUCUUACUAGGAACAUAGUGAAUCGAAAGCACUUGACACUUAGAAGUAAAAUAGAUCAAGCCUCUUCCAUUGCACUGAAUUUUCGUUUUUGACAUAAAACUGCAUUGAAUAUUGUAAUGUAUAGGUUACUUACUUUGCUGCUAACUCGAGGAAAAGAAUUUUAGUGGAUAAUGUUUAAAUCUAGGAACAUAUUCUGAAGCUCCUCAAUAUAAUUAUUUCUCAAAUUCUGGAGAUACACACAAAAUAACCUCGAAUUUCUUUGUCUAUACCAAGAUUUUUUUAAAAUUUUUGUUUUAAGGUGUACUUGGCAAUUCCAUUCCAUUUCUUAUUUGUUUAUGGUUUCAUGGUAUGCAACAUGUGAAAGCUAAUGGGGAUUAUUGCUUUUGUGCUUGCUACUAGGAAUAUGACAUUGCAAAUGAUAACGGCAAAAAUCCAGCAGAGCGUUUAGCUCGCCAAAAGCAAAAUCUCCGGCGUCGUUUAGGUUAUACUUCUCUCUUACAUCUUAUUGUUGCUACUUUUUAAUUUUCACUUUAUGGCACUCACCGCACCACUGCCACAAGGUUCUUUCUAUAGUGAAGACUGCACCUGUAUUCUGCAAAGUAUCGUUGUACUCUGAUAUAUCUUUGAACUUUUUGUUGUUGUGUUGGAUUUCUCAUUCCUUUCAUGUUUCUGUUCUAGUGCAGGUCUGGAUGUAUGUGAGCAGUUCAUGGAUUUCAAUGAUGUUAUCAAAGACGAGGACCUUCUUGCCCAAAAGAAUUAUUGGGGUGCAAAUAUGCAAAACAAUGGAUUCUAUUCAUUUAAUACUGGUCAGAAUAUUCAGCACUUGGUUGCAUCUAUGGUUCCCAGGUAUCCCAAACAUUCCAAUUUUCGCUCCAGGCGAUUAAGCGCCAGGGAGCUCAAUAUGCUGAAGCGUAAAGCAAAAAGCAAUGCAAAAGAUCAUACAAAGGCUGUACCCGAGGAUGAUGACGUUGUGCCAAAAAGUUCUGGACCGUCUAACGGGGCCUCUUCUGAUCAAGUUGGUUCACACAACACAUGUUCUGUCAAUUGUACUAUAUUUUUCUAAGAUUUUAGUAUCCUCCCGCACAAUUUUUUAUUUUUCUGGGGUCAUUUAUGAGAUGGUCAUUAAUUCCACAUUCUUAAAUUAUCGGGAGCCUUGGUAGAGGUUGUAAAACUUUGUUUCUGAUUGUUCUCAAUUGCUAGCACAAACUAUCAUGUCUGAAUAUGUGGCGCAGUGCAAGUAAGUUAAGUGCAUUUGUGGGUGUGUGUUCUUCCAUGCAUCAUGCAUGUGUGGUUUGUUGACUUGUUAUUGUUGGCAUUCCUGUUUGGCAAUUUACGCAGUUGCACUGGAGCAUUCUGUUGGGAUGGCUUUGUCUUCAAUCUGUGAUGAUCUAAUCACCCCACUUACAUUUUUUCAGGAUACAGUUGAUGCAAUCACAGAUGAGGACAAUCUGGAGUACAGUGAGAAUGGGAGAUGGCCUUUUCAACAGUUUGUAGAUCAACUUAUUCAUGACAUGUUUGACCCUAGUAAGUUCAUUAUCUGUCUUGUCUCUGAAAUUUGUCCCAUUCUUAUCUCGCUUACAAUCUUUUUACUGAGUGUUGUAUUGUAGUUUGGGAAGUUCGCCAUGGCACCAUUAUGGCUUUGAGGGAAAUUUUGACGCAUCAAGGUGCUUGUGCUGGAGUAUAUUUUCCUGAUCUGAACUCACCUUUCGCUGACCUUGAUGAUAAAAACAAUUUGGACUCCCUGAAAAGAGCACAUGGUAUUGAUCUUAAUGAAGACAUUGAUUCGGGACAGCUCGAGCCAGUUUUGAAAAGACAAAAGAAAGAGGAGUCUAAUCCAGAGGUUAUGGACAUUCAGUUGGAUAAGGAGCCAAGUAACGGUGAUUAUUCCAAAACAGAGGCAAGUCUGAGUACUGAGCCUACUGUAUCUAGUGGUGAACCAAAUCUUGCUCAUGCAAAGGUUGAAUCACCCUUCCAGGUUGAUGGUUCAGCUAACCCAUCUAAGGUGGAUCCAUAUUGUACACCACCUCACGAAACACUCAACUCCAUGCCCAAACUGAGUUCUACCCAUCUCCCUGAAAAUUCAAAAUUUAUAAAGCUGAUGAAACUAGCGAACUACUCAGCGGUAAAAAAUUGGGAAUUUCUUCAAGACUGUGCAAUUCGUUUCCUUUGUGUACUUUCAUUGGACCGGUAUGUAUCUCUGGACUUAUAUACUUUUUGUGUGUAUUUGGUUGUCUUGGCUAUUAGUCUUAUUAUUUUUUUUUGCCUUUGUUCUUCCUGUAGCUUUGGUGAUUAUGUAUCUGAUCAAGUGGUUGCUCCUGUUCGUGAAACUUGUGCUCAAGCUCUUGGUGCAGUUCUGAAGUACAUGCAUCCGACUCUAGUAUGCCAUACACUGAAUAUUUUGCUGCAAAUGCAGGUGUGUCCUGUAGUAAUUAUUUGUCUUGCUGUUGUCAACUUCAAAACAGUACAUUCUCUGUUGUCAUCAUCAUCACCAUUUCCGUCCUUUUCUUUGUUCUUUCAGCGCAGGCAGGAGUGGGAAGUUCGUCAUGGGAGUCUCCUUGGAAUUAAGUAUUUAGUUGCUGUUCGUCAGGUGAUUGCUAAUGAGAAAAACUAUAACCUAAUAGGCUAAUUCAAUCGUCUUUGUGCAUAUAUGACCAGAGGGGCAGUAGUAGUUGGCUUGCUACCAAGUCAAGUUUUGCUUUUCAUAUCUCUACACUAGAGGAACUUAGGAGUUCUGAGAAACAUCCUCUUCUGUUUACUAAUAUUUGUUUUUGACGCCUAAUUUAUGUGUAAAAUUGCUAUAAUAUUGUUUCCUUCCCCACCAGGAAAUGCUUAAAGACUUGCUUAAUUAUGUUCUUCAUGCCUGUAAAGCUGGUCUGGAGGAUCCAGAUGAUGAUGUCCGGGCUGUGGCUGCAGAGGCUCUGAUCCCAGCUGCUGCUUCUUUAGUUAGACUAAAUGAUCAAAUGCUACAUUCAAUUGUGAUGUUGCUUUGGGAUAUAUUGCUUGACCUUGAUGAUCUAAGCCCUUCUACAAGCAGGUAUGUUCAAUCAUGCUUUCCUCAUUUAGUAAACACAUUGUUUGCGUAAUGUUGAACACUGAGCCCAUGUUAUACAUUAUAUGGUCCAUCUACUUCCGAUUUCUAAUCUUAUUUUGAAUCCAGUCACCUGUUCCCAGAUAAGGAAUUUAAAAUGUUGGAUAGUUGUUCGUUGCUCUUUUAUUCCGUUUAAAGUUGACUGUACUCAUGCCACAAUAAAUAUUCUGUAUUUCUCAUGUCCAAAUUUCAUUUUUGUUUCAGUGUGAUGAAUUUGUUAGCUGAGAUAUAUUCUCAACCAGAGAUGGUUCCAAAGAUGCUUGGCACAACAGCCAUAGGUGGAGACAACGAAUUUGAUCUAAACAGUGUAACUCUGGUUGCCGGUGAAGAAAAAAUGGGUUCUAAUGAUAAUCCUUAUGUCUUAGCCGCUCUGACACCCCGAUUGUGGCCUUUUAUGAGACAUAGUAUUACAUCAGUCCGGCGUUCUGCUGUACGAACAUUGGUAAGAAUUACAUGGAAUUUGAGAUCCACUGUAGUUUGAUUGUGCUGCAGUAUCAGGUGCCCAUUCGAGUUGAGUAUGAGUUAUAUAAAUGAGAAACAGAAUUGUAAUGAAAAAUAUCUGCAAUAAUUUACCGGGUGAAAUAGCAGUUUUGAGCCAUCUUGUGUAUGUUUUCUACAUUGUUUUGCCAAGAAAAACCAACCUAUCCUUGGGAUUUUGCCAAUCUGGAGUUGGAUAUUCCACUCUGUUCCCAUGUGCAAUUGGUUUUUGCUGUAAGCUUCUGAAUGCCAUUUGUUAUGCUUUCCUAGUUAAAAACCGUGAAGUUCAAACUUUUUGUAGGAGAGGCUUCUCGAGGUUGGGAACACCAGGAAUUCAGCUAAACUAUGGCUUGCAUCUAUAUUAGGUGAUGCGCUGCAAGUUGUCUUCCAGAAUCUUCUUUUGGAGUCAAAUGAUGAGAUUAUUCGAUCUUCUGAAAGGGCUUGGAAACUUUUACUUCAGGUUACUGAUGUUCUGGCUUUCCGGGUGUUGUGAAUUUACUCAAUUCAUAGAAAUUUAAUGAUCAUGUCUAUUACAGGAUUAUAGUAACAAACAAAAAUAUUUCUAUGCUUGUAGUGCCCUACGGAGGACCUUGAGUCUGCUGCAAGUUCAUAUUUUAGUAAUUGGGUGCAACUUGCCACUACUCCAUAUGGCACAGCAUUGGAUUCUGCAAAAAUGUUUUUGCCAGUUGCACUUCCACGAGGAAGUCGUUCAAGAGCUGCUGCAAAGAUCAAAUCUGCAAGGUUAGAACAUGAAAAUACGAGAAUGAUAUCUUUUGGUUCUACCGGAGAGAACACUUCACAGGAAAAGCAUUCUGAAGCUUCCUUGAGUGUUUCAAAAAUAAUUGUGGGGUCUGAUUCGGACAAAUCUGUUACUCAUACGCGAGUGCUGACGUCAAUGGCCCUUGGUCUGUUUGCCUCUAAGUUGCCAGAGGGGUCGUGGCAAGUUGUUCUUGGUCCACUAGCAAGCGAUCUCAUGUCUCUCUCAGGAGUCCAGAGACAGGUAAGAAAAAACCUUAUGUUUUAGUGCAUAAAAGCAUUCAAUUCAACUACUUGUUUUGCACUCAUAAUUUUCUAUCGCUCCAGGUGGCUUCUAUGGUUAUUGUUUCUUGGUUUAAAGACCUCAGAAAAAGUGAUCCUGCUGCGGUGGGUACAUUGCUAGCUUUCUUAUCCUCCCUGAAAGGGUGGAUGUUGGACUUACUGGCUUGCUCUGACCCUUCAUUUCCUACAAAAGAUUCUCCGCUUCCAUAUGCUGAGCUUGCAAGAACAUACAGGAAGAUGCGCAAUGAAGCCAAUAAUUUGUUCCAGUCAAUAGAAUCUUGUGCUCUUCUUAAAGAGUAUACAAGCAACUUAAACUUUGAAGCUGACAUGCUGAGUGUUGAUGAUGCUAUUAACUUCACUUCAAAGCUUUUGUUACCAUCUGAACCUGAUUUUAGUUUGGACAGUGAUAAAAUUGUCUUGAACAAUAUAGAGUCAGCAAAACAAGGUCUAUUGUCUACGUCAGGCUACUUGAAAUGUGUUCAGGUAUGUGAAAUUUCUAAUUAGGGUGUCUUCAGAUUUAUAUUAAUGUGUUAGAAUUACUUGUUGCAUCUGUCUAGUUCUGAUUUUUUUUAUCCUUUUUAUUAGCAAUAUCAUAAAAUAGGUUUCCUUGUUUGAUGAUGUUCUGCAGAAUAAUUUGCAUGUGACAGUUUCCUCUUUAGUGGCCUCUGCUGUAGUCUGGAUGGCAGGGCUGCCUAGUAAGUUGAACCCAGUCAUUUUGCCUUUAAUGGCUGCUGUAAAAAGGGAACAGGUACGACAUAGUAUUCUUAUGCUCUUAAAUUUUGUCUUAGAUGUAAGCUCAAAUGGUUCCAUAUCAUUUAGGAGGAAAUACUUCAGGACAAAGCUGCAGAUGCACUUGCUGAGCUCAUUUUUAGUUGUGUUGGCCGCAAACCUGGCCCAAACGACAAACUAACAAAGAACCUCUGCACGUUAACAUGCACUGAUGCAAGUGAGACACCUCAAGCUGCAGUUAUAAACUCAAUUCAGGUUAUUGAGGACCAAAACUUGCUGUCGAUUGGUAAGCGUUUUAGCAAUCACAAAUCCAGGGGCCAGAUGACUUCCGGUGGUGAAUCGAAGUCGGAGGGUUUUAUAAGCCGGCGUGGAUCGGAGUUGGCUUUUAAGCAUCUUUGUGAGAAAUUUGGAGCAUCCUUAUUUGAAAAGCUUCCCAAGUUAUGGGAUUGCCUUACGGAGUUUCUUAAACCCGUCAAGACUGGAGAUGAUCUUAUGAAAGAAGAUCCAAGUAUUGCGCAGUUAGGAAGAUCUUGUGAGGACAAGGAACCGCAGUCCCUUAUAAAUAAUAUCCAGGUUUGUUUUAUAAAUUAAUUUGAAUUCAAUUGGUUCCCUUUUGUUUUGGCAUAAAACUGCUACAUGAUGUUGGAUUAGACCAUCAUGUCAUAUCAAUAUGAAUCAAUAUAUCUUUGGUUACUUGCUACUAUUUAGUAUAAACUGGUUUGGUUCCAUUUUCAUCUCUUGCCAUAUUUCUAAUGCCAUUUCUGCUCCUCCUCACAGGUUGUUCGUUCGGUUACACCUCAUUUGGCUGAGCCCUUGAGGCCUCAAUUGCUAAGUCUCCUUCCCUGUAUUCUUGGUUGUGUGCGCCAUCCUCAUGUCGCUGUCAGGUUAGCUGCUGCAAGGUGCAUCACAUCAAUGGCAAAAUCAUUGACUGCUAAUGUAAUGGUAAUUGUGAUAGAAAAUGUCAUACCGAUGUUGUCAGAUUCAUCUUCUGUCUGUGCAAGGCAAGGAGCUGGGAUGCUUUUGAGCCUUCUUGUUCAGGGUUUGGCUGUGGAGUUGGUUCCUUAUGCUCCUUUCCUUGUUGUUCCUCUUCUAAGGUGUAUGAGUGAUCCUGAUGGUUCUGUUAGACAGACUGUAACUCACAGUUUUGCUGCUCUGGUUCCUUUGUUGCCAUUAGCAAAAGGUUCUUUGUUACCGGAUGGACUGAGUGAACGCUUAUCUAGCAGUGCAGAAGAUGCGCAGUUUCUAGAGCAGCUCCUCGACAACUCCCAAAUUGAUGAUUACAAGCUCAGCAUUGAUCUCAGUGUUGAACUGCGAAGGUCUGUAACUAUCUUAAAAGCUCCUUUAUUGGAAUGUGGCUUGACGACGUUAUUCUACUUAGUUUGAGAUAGUGUAUUGAGUGCUAUUGUGGAUACCAUACAUAAUAAUACUUGUUAUAAUGAUUAUUAUUUGAUGUUCUUUUAACAAAAUGUUGUGGAUCGCUACAGGUACCAGCAAGAAGGAAUUAACUGGCUAGCAUUCCUUAGACGGUUCAAGUUACAUGGAAUUUUAUGUGAUGACAUGGGUCUUGGCAAAACACUCCAGGCGUCUGCUAUUGUAGCAGCUGAUAUUGCUGAGUCACGUGCACGGAAUGAUGAGCAAGAUCCGAAAUCUUUGAUUAUCUGCCCUUCUACAUUAGUAGCACACUGGGAAUAUGAAAUAGAGAAGUACAUAGACAGCUCUAUCAUGAAACCUCUUCAGUACAUCGGUUCAUCACAAGAUAGGAUUAUCCUCCGUUCUCAGUUUGAUAAGUUCAACGUAAUCAUAACGUCAUAUGAUAUUAUACGCAAGGAUAUUGAUUUUCUUGAGAAUGUCUUUUGGAACUAUUGUGUGCUGGAUGAGGGGCACAUAAUAAAGAACUCAAGAUCUAAAAUAACAUCUGCUGUGAAACAAUUGAAAGCACAACACCGUCUUAUCCUCAGCGGUACUCCAAUUCAGGUAAAAUUUCAUUCAUGAAUCUUGUUGGUAUGCUUUUCGUCUAGCUGUUGCGGUUCGCUUUACAUUGCACUUUUUAUUUCAUUGUUCAUGUUCUUUGUAGAUAAUUCCAUCGAUCCAGUACUGAAAUUGGUAUUACUAUUUAUUUGACACAUUCCACUAUAAUUGCAGAAUAAUGUAUUGGAGCUCUGGUCUCUAUUUGACUUUCUUAUGCCUGGAUUUCUUGGGACAGAAAAACAGGUAAAUGUGCUAUGAAUUCAACUUUACUUACAGAACUGAAAGCUAAGAAUUUGGUCGUUGACAUGAACCAUGCCUUUUUUGUUCAAGAACUUAGUUUAGUUUUUAACAUGUUCCUGAUUUACUCUUACGCUAGCUUCCAAGCUUAUUAGUUAGUUCAGGAAUAAUAUAUGGAUCUAUGGACUUGCUAGUUAGUUCCAAGCUUAUUAUUAGUUAGUUUAGUUUUUUUGUUAUUCACUGUGGACUUGCUCAGAGCGACAGGUGAUAUAUGGAUCUGCCUUAUCUGGGCCGUUACACUUUCUUACAUAUGAUGCUUGCAAAUGAUAUCUAUGUUUAGUUGUGUUAUAGGUGCUAGGCUGCUUGAUAAAUCAUUAGUAGUUUGAUGACAUGCAUCUGUAGAAAAAGACAUUGGUGACUAUAUUGUAUUAAUGUAAGUGGACAUAUAUGGCUGUGUUCGGAUGAGGGGGUUCCCAACCCCCUCUCCCUCGCAUUCCGUGCGCACGCUUUUCAAACUACUAAACGGUGUGUUUUUUGCGAAAAGUUUAUAUACGAAAGUUGUUUAAAAAAAAUCAAAUUGAUCCAUUUUUGAAAAAAAAUAGCUAAUACUUAAUUAAUCACGUGCUAAUGGACUGCUCUGUUUUCCGUGCGGGGAGAUGGGUUCCCAACCCCACAUUACAAACACACCCAUAGAAUGUUUUAACCAACCAAAGAUGAAAUUGUUUCUGCUUUCAUGAAGGGGUGGAUUUUUACUAGUCCUGACUCUUGAUAAUUACCUUGGUCUAUUCUGAUAUGAAGUAUUUGUGCUGAAAUUAAAUACAAUGUUAAUUAUGCAGUUCCAAGCUACAUAUGGAAAACCAUUGCUAGCAGCAAAAGAUCCAAAAUGUUCAGCAAAGGAUGCUGAAGCUGGCAUUCUUGCUAUGGAGGCACUGCAUAAACAGGUUUUUAUCUUCUGUAGUAGACUUGAAGUCUUUAAAAAUAACUGGGGGUUUUGAGUCUUGUGACCUUUGUUGACAAGUAAAAGUCAUUUUGCUAUACUAGGUCAUGCCGUUUCUACUUAGAAGAACAAAGGAUGAAGUUUUAUCUGAUCUUCCUGAGAAGAUUAUCCAGGAUAGAUAUUGCAAUCUCAGUCUAUUGCAGCUCAAACUUUAUGACAAAUUCUCCAACUCCAAUGCCAAACAAGAGAUUUCCACUAUAGUAAAAGAAAAUGAAUUAGAUCAAUCCACUUCUCAACCAAAGGCAACUCGUCAUGUGUUUCAGGUACUGCAGUUAGACAAACAUUUUAGCUUUCUCAUUCUGCAUUUCUUAUGUGGUAUCGUGUUUGCGUUUUAAUUGAAUAUGCUUUUGUAAUGCAGGCACUGCAAUAUCUAUUAAAACUUUGUAGCCAUCCUUUACUUGUAACUGGGGAAAGCCCACCUGAUUAUCUUGUGGACCUUCUAAAGGAAAUCGGUAUGGGAACUGGUGAUGAGCUUCAUGACCUACACCAUUCCCCUAAACUUGUUGCUCUCCAAGAGAUACUUCAGGAGUGUGGUAUAGGGUCAGAAAUAUCAAGCCCUGAUGCUUCUGCAGCUAUUGGGCAACACAGAGUUUUGAUUUUUGCUCAACACAAGGUACUGAGUCUGUUCUCUUAUUGAGACUAUGUAUCCCUGUUUCUUUUGGUAUAUUUUCAUCCUUGUCAUGUUUAUAAACAUUCUUUUCUCCAGGCUUUGCUUGACAUUAUUGAGAAGGACCUGUUUCAAUCCCAUAUGAGAAGGUGAGUUUUAUAUAUUGUGAUGUACAUCAGCUUCAUGAAGAAUUCAUCAUGCCAGUGUGUUGUCUGUGUUGCAACAGAUUUGAAAAAAAUAUAUCAUGAGUUCUAAACUGAAAAAUUAUAUAUAUAUAUUUAUAUAUUUUGAAAAAUCAUAUAAUAUUCAAUCAAACAUCAAUCAACAAAAAACUCAAUCCAUAUGCACAAAAGACAUUUAUCCGGUCCUAGAAGAUACGGUGAGAUCGCAGUUUCACCACCACCACCAGUAGCAGAUUCUUUUAUAUAGUAGAGAUUAAUAUUAGCUGAUGCAAAUUAUUUUAAGCAUCUUGCUUUAUGUUGUUUUAUCUUGUGUUUUAUUAUGCUUGGAUAUUUGUACUUUCUAGAGUACUGCAGUGCUGUUUUAUCUUUGAGUAACUGUAAAUAUAAGGUUGUCGUUGGCCUAGUUGAUAACUGACUAAAAAUACACACUUCUGUUUCUCAGUUUCCUGCCUGUGCUCAUCUAAUCAGCAAACUUUUGAUAUUCAUUCAGCGUUACAUAUUUACGGUUGGACGGCUCUGUUGAACCAGAGAAGCGAUUUGAAAUUGUGAAGGCAUUCAACUCAGAUCCAACCAUUGAUGUGCUCCUAUUAACAACUCAUGGUAGGUUUGGAGAAUGCCAUAUGGAUCAGGGAUUUACUCCUAGAUAUAUAUACUAGAAAAGCUAUAUCUGAUUCUUUCCUGUUGCAGUCGGUGGGCUUGGAUUGAAUUUGACAUCUGCUGACACAUUGGUCUUUAUGGAACAUGAUUGGAACCCAAUGAAGGAUCUUCAGGUUUGCUUUUGCAUAUUUUAUCAACGAUAAGGCUACCAUUAAAUUUCCUCCACCAUUUUCAAGCUAUCCUCUGUGAAACAAACGAACAAUACUCCCCUCUUACAGGCAAUGGACAGAGCACACCGUCUGGGUCAAAGGAAAGUGGUAAACGUGCACCGUCUCAUCAUGCGCGGUACCCUGGAAGAGAAGGUGAUGAGUCUUCAAAGGUUCAAGGUGUCGGUGGCCAAUGCGGUCAUCAAUGCUGAGAACGCCAGCCUGAAGACAAUGAACACUGACCAACUGCUUGAUCUGUUUGCUUCGACGCCUGCUUCCAGAAAAGUAAAUCCCUUGUGACCAUAUAUCUCGUAUAGAAAAAACUUUUGUAAUUUUUAUUCUUUAUUUGGGUUUAUGAUCCUUUGUCUAUGGCCAUACGCAGGCGUCUGUACUCCCAAGCAGUUCGGGUGGUGAUCAGAGUAAAGAUUCCAAGGGGAAAUCUGGUGGGAAGGGUUUGAAGUCCAUUCUGAAUGGUCUGGACGAGCUAUGGGAUCAGUCUCAGUAUGCAGACGAGUACGAUCUCAACCAGUUCUUGGCGAAGCUCAACGGCUGAACACACGAUCACCGGUCCUGUACAGUGUAAAGCGAAUUGGGGCGUGUGAUGAACAGGUUGGCAGAUUUUGUUGGCAACCACAGGAGUCAGAAAUUUUUUUGUUGUUUCAUACGGAAGAAGGGAAAAAAAAAGGAAGAUCGCAAGAUCUAGAGCAAUGUGGCUAACAUAUAGGUGCUUGAGAUGGUGAUCUCAAAUUUUUGUCUUUUGAGCUUUUGGUUAGGAGGGUUUAGAGAGAGAUAGAGCUAGUCUUGAGAGGAGUUGUAUAUACUAUCUGCUCAUUAUAAUAAUUAAUCAAAGGCUGCAGCUCCUUGUAAAUUUUGCCUUGAGUUGCUUACUGUUUCUACCUUUUACUUGGCCUAGUAACUGAGCUAUCCAGUGGUGUAGUAAGCCUGCCUACUGGGAACGCGGAUCAUUUUUGUCUCGCUAACAUGUGAAAGUAAUAGUAAGAUCGGGUAAAAACGGAAAAGGGGUGAUACAUUCUUGCCUAUCAAUCCUUGCUCGUCUGAAUCCCGUUUUGGCCGCUAAGGAAGUUCCCAAAAAUUUUUCCUGUUCAUUGUCUGAAUCCCGUUUUGGCCGCUAAGGCCGUUUUGGACAAAUGUAUAGAGCACAAAAUAUAUAUUAAAAAAACUAAUUGUACAGUUAUGGAGAAAUCGUGAGCUUAAUCAGUUCAUGAUUAGCCAUAAGUAAUACAGUAACCCACAUAUACUAAUGACGGGUUAAUUACUUAAUUUGGCUCAAAAGAUUCGUCUCGCGGUUUCCAAGCGAGUCAUGAAAUUAUUUUUUUCAUUCGUGUCCGAAAACCCCUUCCAAUAUUUAGUCAAACAUCUGAUGUGAUACCUAAUUUUUUUUUCGUGAACUAAACGGUCCCUAAAAGGAAGUCAUCUCAGCCAAUGUGAAACUGAUGACCUUUCAUUCCCUUCUAUUCUUUCAUCGUUGUAAUUGUGACAUGUUAGACUAUAACUUUCAUCAGUUAGAAAUUGAUCCCUUGGUCUCCCUUUAUUAUUAUUUUUUGUUCGACCCUUGCUUAGGCCAUGUUUAGUUUCAAAGGUUUUCUUCAAACUUUUAACUUUUCCAUCACAUCAGAACUUUCCUACACACAUAAACUUUCAACUUUUCCAUUACAUCGUUCCAAUUUCAACCAAACUUCUAAUUUUGAUGUGAACUAAACACAACCUUAGAUGCAUAUCUUUUCAAUGUCCUUUGUUUCUACAUAGCCUACAUAGUAAGGGUAGAAGCGGUGUGGAAAUUUUCUAACCAUACCGAUACAGUUUCCCUAAAAUAUUACAUAGUCAUGCUGUAGCAGCACUCGGAAUAUAUAUGAUCUAGUUAGACUAGUUCUUCUCUCAACUUUCUCAGUCUCCCCUUUAUUUUUCACACGCACGUUUCCCAAACUACUAAACGAUAUGAUUAUUUUUUUUUGAAAAUUUUCUAUAGGAAAUUUGAUUUAAAAAUCAUAUUAAUCCAUUUUUAUUUUUAAACUUAAUACUUAAUUAAUCAAGGGGGUCAAUCCACUGUUUCAUUUUUCGCAUAGGGAGGAGUUCCCAACUACUCCCUCCGUCCCUAAAUAUUUGACGCCGUUGAUUUUUUUUAAUAUGUUUGACGGUUUGUCUUGUCAAAAAAUUUAAGUAAUUAUUAAUUCUUUUCCUAUCAUUUGAUUCAUUGUUAAAUAUACUACUAUUACUCAAGUUUUUGAAUAAUAUUCACAAAAGUUUUUGAAUAAGACAAACGGUCAAACAUGUUUAAAAAAGUCAACGGCAUCAAAUAUUUAGGAACUAAAAGAGUACUACAAACGAACGAAGCCUAGGCUUCUCCAUAUAAGGCUGUGUUUAGUUCACAGCAAAAUUAAAAGUUUGGUUAAAAUUGAAACGAUAUGACGGAAAAGUUGGAAGUUUGUGUGUGUAGGAAAGUUUUGAUGUGAUGAAAAAGUUGGAAGUUUGAAGAAAAACUUUGGAACUAAACCAGGCCUAAAUGAACAUUCGAUGGCUCCUCUAGAAACAUUCUUGAUCUUAGCAUUCAGUUUGGAAGAUGAAAUGGCAUUCACACGAGCAUUGCAGAUUUUCAUGGUCCAUCUGGCUAGCAGAGACCAGAGCGUCGUCUGCAAAUGCAUGAUCUGAGCAAACCUUUGCAGUCUUUGCUGCGUUGCGUUGACGGUCAGUCAACCCACACACACACGCAUCAUGCAACACAUUGACAGAUUGGCCUUAACUUCACUCGGUAAUUUAUUUCAUCGCUGUAACUAUGGCAUGUUAGACUACAACUUUCAUCCGUUAGAGCAGGUACAAUAGCAGGCUGUAAACAUAUUUUAAUAAGAUAAAAGAUGAGAGAGAAUAGCAGUGGGCUAUAGAUCUAUAGCCAGCUGCAGCGUGGACUCCAAGACACAAUGUGUGUAUGACAGGUGGUACCAUAUAUUAAUAGUAUAGUAAACAACUAUCGUAUAAAUUACCUAUUAUAUUGGCUAUAAAUAAAUUAAAGUUAGUAGUGGGUUAUACUAUUAAACUUGCUCUUAGAAAUUGAUCCCCUGGCCUCCCUUUAUAUUAGUUGCAUUCCUUUGAAUGUUCCACACUUGUUUAGCGAAUUAAAUUUAAAAAUAUACUGUUAAUUUAUUUUUUUUUCUCGAAAUUUUCAGGAUAUAUUUUUUUAACAGAAAUAUAUCGUCGUUCUGUCACAAACAUUACACGAACAUGACGACGCGGGCGAGACGGCGCUACCUCACACGAUGAAAUAGCUAGACCGAGCAGUACCAGCGAGCGAGACCGAAUGGCUGGCCGAUUCAAACUGUUUAAUUAUCUGAUAUUAAUUAAUCGCUAAUUAGAAUGAUUAAUCACUUGUUAUUAUUAAUUAAUUGCUAAUUGGGUAAGUCUCUAAUUAUGCGGCAGCUCACUGGGCAAGCCGUUCGCUCUCUGCUCAUUCAUUGUGCGAGAUUGCUUGGUCUCGUUGUUUCGUCACGUGAGACCGCGCGAUACGCUAUGGUUGCGCACAGUCACCGUGCAAGACCGUCCGCGUCAUCACACCUCACGUUGUUUGAGAUCGACAGUUUAUUUCUAUUAAAAAAAUAAAUCAACAGUAUAUUUUUAAAUCAAAUCUAAUUACUUGUUUAGCUGUAUAUCUUUUCAAAAUCGAUUAUCCCUACAUAGCAUAUGUAGUAGGGGUAAAAACGGUGUCGAAAUUUUCCAACCGUACCAAUACCAUUUCUAAGAAAUAUUACAUGGGGUGUGUUAUGUUGGGCUUUUCAACCUGCUUUUACUUUUGCUUUUGCAAAAGUUAAAAGCCAACUAAAGGGCUCAAAAAUCAUAAGUACUUUUGCUCCAAAGCUGCUUUUAGUGCAGUACAAAUCUAAAAGCACCCCUACCCCUGCUUUCAUUGGCUUUUGAGUAAAAAAAAAUUACCCGCCUCUCUCAUUAUAAAGAAAACGGUUCGACAAAAAUAAAAAUUAAUUACACAGAUUACGUGUAAAUUACAAGACGAAUCUUUUAAGCUUAAUUGCUUCAUGAUUUGACAAUGUGGUGCUACAGUAAACAUUUGCUAAUGAUGGAUUAAUUAGGCUUGAUAAAUUCGUCUCGUAGUUUACAUGCGGAUUCUGUAAUUUGUUUGGUUAUUAAACUAUAUUUAAUACUUUAAAUGUGUAUAUGUAUAUUUGAUGUGACACAGUAAAAAACUUUACCCAUAAAUCUAAACACAGUCUUAAUAUUCUACGCGUGUCACAGUGUGAAAUUUUUUGUUAUGAACUAAACAGUUUGGAAGAUGAAAUGGCAUUCGCACGAGCGUUGCAGAUUUUCAUGGUACAUCUGGCUAGCAGAGACCAGAGCGUGGUCUGUAAGCCAGACAGCCCAUAUGCAUGAUCUGAGCAAACCUUGCAGUCGUUGCUGCGUUGCGUUGACGGUCAGUCAACCCACAGACACACGCAUCAUGCAACGCCAUUGUCAGAUUGGCCUUAACUUCACUCGGUAAGGCCUGGUUUAGGCCAUGUUUAGUUCCAAAAACUUUUUUUCAAAAACAUCACAUCGAAUCUUUGGACAUAUGUAUAAUAAAAAACUAAUUGCACAGUUAUGGAGGAAAUCACGAGACAAAUUUUAUGAGCCUAAUUAGUCCAUGAUUAGCCAUAAAUGCUAUAAUAACUCACAUGUGCUAAUGAUGGAUUAAUUAGGCUCAAAAGAUUCGUCAUGCGGUUUCCAGGCGAGUUAUGAAAUUAGUUUUUUCAUUCGUGUCCCAAAACCCCUUCCAACAUCUGGUCAAACGUCCGAUGUGACACCAAAAAAUUUUCUUUUCGCGAACUAAACAUACCCUUAAGUUUCCCAAAUUUUUUUCCAAAAAACAUCACAUCGAAUCUUUGGACACAUGCAUGAAACAUUAAAUAUAGAUUAAGAAAAACUAAUUGCACAGUUAGAGGAAAAUCGCGAGACGAAUCUUUUGAGCUUAAUUAGUUCAUAAUUAGCCAUAAGUGCUACAGUAACUCACAUAUGCUAAUGACAGAUUAAUUAGGCUCAAAAGAUUUGUCUCGCGGUUUUCAGGCUAGUUAUGAAAUUCGUUUUUUCAUUCGCGUCCGAAAACCCCUUCCCACAUCCGAUUAAAUAUUCGAUGUGAUACCCAAAAAUUUUCUUUUCGCGAACUAAACAGGCCCUAACUCGACUCAUUCACUCGCGAACUAAAUAGGCCCUAACUUGACUCAUUAAGGCUGUGUUUAGAUCCAAAGUUUAGAUCCAAACUUCAGUUCUUUUCCAUCACAUCAACAUGUCAUACACACACAACUUUUCAGUCACAUCAUCUUCAAUUUCAACCAAAAUCCAAACUUUGCCCUGAACUAAACACAGCCUCACUCACUCUAGUCCCAGUCAAUCUAGGUGGCUAGCUGACAGCAAAAAAUUUUCGCCAUGUCACAUCGAACGUUUGAACAUCUGCAUGAAGUAUUAAAUAUAGGUUAAAAAAUCACAUAUUGCGACUAAUUUGUGAGACGAAUCUUUUAAGCCUAAUUGCUCCAUGAUUUGAUAACGUGGUGCUACAGUAGACAUUUGCUAAUGAUGGAUUAAUUAGGCUUAAUAAAUUCGUCUAUCUGUUUACUGACGGAUUCUGUAAUUUGUUUACCUGAAUACCUCAUAUGACACCCCGCCAAAACUUUACCCCCUCGAUCUAAACACCCCUGAAUUUGCUAUACUAGUAUAUAAUAUUCUCCAGCCGGAUCCUUCCUCUCGGACGCAGCAAUGGCAAUGACGAUGCUCUUCAGUCUGCUGUUUUGCACAGCUAAGGCUACUGAUGAUUCAGGAGCAGAAACUGAAGCAGAAGCACUCCUCCGAUGGAAGUCCACUUUGAUCGACGCCACCAACUCGUUGUCGUCAUGGUCGAUUGCCAACUCCACCUGCUCU
rnacentral:lncRNA from 1 species